UAUGGUCCCGCUACUAUACUAUUAUGAGUACGAUCGCCCUCGUACUCAUAAGUUGUUUUCGAUGAUAGAGCUUCCAAAUCAACGAUCCACACCGUUAAACGUUAUUUACAGUAUUUAAAAUUUUUAAAAAUCAAAUUUUAUAAUUUUUCGACAUCAUUUACCUUACGAUCAAGAGGUCACAAAUUUGACAAUUUUUAACGGCCGAUAUGGAAUACUUGCUAGUUUAACGGUGUAAAAGAAUCGAAAUUUGUUGAAUUUUUGAUAGAAAAUUUUAUUCACUACAUAGAUAAAGAUCAAUAACUCCGAUCUUGAAUUAAAGGAUCCGAUCAUCCUUUUUUAGGAUGUCGUUCGAUUUUGACCGUUCAUUUUAUGCCCACUUGAUGGACUUUAUUAUGAUUUCGAAAAUUUACGAAAUUUAUUUUCUAGAAGUUUUAAAUACUCUAGAUCAUAUUUAACGGAGUGGAUCGUCGAUUCGGAAGCUCCAUCAUUGAAAACAACUUAUGAGUACGAGAACUCCAAUACUCAUAAUAGUAUAGUAGCCAUGGCAUAUAUAUAUAUAGAAUUAGGCUGGAAUGCUAUUGAUAGCAAAAGAUGCUUUUUGCUAUCAAGUUUUUAACCCUUAGAUGAGAAAUUGUAGAGUCAGGAUGAUAUUAGUUAGUUAGGAUUGAGUGGUCCCCUAGGGUUGAGAGGUUCCCACUGGGUUAUAAUAUUUAAUUCAAUGGUUAGAAAUAAUGAAAGGAGUUGAUCCAAAGGCUAAAAACUUGGUAGCAAAAAAAAAGCCUUUUGCUAUCAAUAGUAUUUUGGCCCAACUAUAUAUAUAUAUAUAGAGUCCGGCUACUAUGCUAUCGGUAGCACGGAGCGCUCCGUGCUACCAAGUUGUUUUCGAUGAUGCGGCUUCCAAAUCGACGAUCGGCUCCGUUAGACUUGAUCUACACUAUUAAAAGUAUUUGGAAACUAAAUUUCAGAUUUUUUCGACAUCAUUUGACACGUGAUCAAAAGAUCUCAAAAUUAAUAAUUUUAAAGGCCGAUGUGGUGUGUUUGUGAGUUUAACGGUGUAAAACAAUCCAAAUGCGAUGAAAAUUUUAUAGAAAAUUUUUUUCACUAUUUAGAGUAAGAUCAGUAUAUCUGAUCUUGAAUUUAAAUCUUUUAUCAUCAUUUUUCAUGAGAUUUUUAUUUUCAGCCGUUCAAUUUUAGACUACUUGUUUGAUAGGUAAAUGAUAUCGAAAAAUUAUGAAAUUUAGUUUCUAAAUACUUUCAAUAGUGUAGAUCAUAGUGGGCUGGGUCGUUACAUUUGGUAUCAGAGCCGGUUCACCAGCUGGACAUGUGUGGCGAGUCUCGGCUGAGCCAGGGUCUGGAUGACGGGCUAGCGAGACGAGUCUCACAUCGCCUGGUGGUGAUCUUGGGCUGAGUGUGUGAUUGGACUGACGAGGACGUCAGGGCCUUAACGGGGGGAGUCUGUGACACCCCAAUAGUCCCACAUCGGAUGGGAAUGGGGUUGUCAUUGGGUUUAUAAGAGACUUAAACACUAGUAAUAAUAACUGGGCUUAAGCAUUUUGGGCCGGUGGUUUGGGCCCAACGAGUUAUUGUUGCUAGUGGGUUGGGUCGUUACAUUUGGUAUCAGAGCCGGUUCACCAGCUGGACAUGUGUGGCGAGUCUCGGCUGAGCCAGGGUCUGGAUGACGGGCUAGCGAGACGAGUCUCACAUAGCCUGGUGAUCUUGGGCUGUGUGUGUUUGGACUGACGAGGACGUCAGGGCCUUAACGGGGGGAGUCUGUGACACCCCAUUAGUCCCACAUCGGAUGGGAAUGGGGUUGUCAUUGGGUUUAUAAGAGACUUAGACACUAGUAAUAAUAACUGGGCUUAAGCAUUUUGGGCCGGUUGUUGGGCCCAACGAGUUAUUGUUGCUAGUGGGCUGGGUCGUUACAAGUCUAACGGAGCCGAUCGUCGAUUUGAAAGCCGUAUCAUCGAAAACAACUUGGUAGCACGGAGCGCUCCGUGUUACCGAUAGUAUAGUAGCCUAGUUCUAUAUAUAUAUAUAUAUAUAUAUAUAGAACUAGGCUACUAUACUAUCAAUAGUACCAACCCCUUGGUACUAUUGAGUUUUCGGCCGUUGGACGAAAGGAUGUGCGGUUAGGAUAAUAGUGAUCCCUGGUUAAAUUGAUAGUGGUCCCUAGGGUUGAGUGGGUGGUUGGUUUAAUAGUAUAAUCUAACGGGUGGAAAUGAUCAAGGGGUAGAUCUAACGGUAGAAAACUCAAUAAUACCAAAGGUUUUGUACUAUCGAUAGUAUAGUAGCCGGACUCUCUAUAUAUAUAUAUAUAUAUAUAUAUAUAUAAUUGUUUGGUAGGGGUUUCAUUCGUUACUUCUAGAUCAUAAAAAUCUAGUCAAGUUCUUCCCAAGAUCAAACUGAAAACAAACAAUUAAUUCUAUAUAAGUCCUGAAUAUAUAUAUAUAUAUAUAUAUAUGUACAAUUGUUUGGUAGGGGUUUCAUUCGUUACUUCUAGAUCAUAAAAAUCUAGUCAAGUUCUUCCCAAGAUCAAACUGAAAACAAAAAAUUAAUUCUAUAUAAGUCCUGAAUAUNNNNNNNNNNNNNNNNNNNNNNNNNNNNNNNNNNNNNNNNNNNNNNNNNNNNNNNNNNNNNNNNNNNNNNNNNNNNNNNNNNNNNNNNNNNNNNNNNNNNNNNNNNNNNNNNNNNNNNNNNNNNNNNNNNNNNNNNNNNNNNNNNNNNNNNNNNNNNNNNNNNNNNNNNNNNNNNNNNCCGUAAUGGAAUAACGUCUCACGAUCACUUCAUGACAGGCAAAAACUCUGGAGCUCCAACAGGUGAUUAAACCCCCAGAAGCCCCAUUGGCUUCGACAAAAACACGUUUGUCAAUAAAAGACCCUGCUAAACUAUGAAGGAAGGACCCUGAUACCUGACGUACUUUUGAUUCCUGGAGACAGACAACUACAUUACGAACUUUCGAAAUAACAUCCCUAACCGUAAAACGUUUAGAAGAGUCAUUAAGCCCUCUAACAUUCCAACUAACAACCCUAAACAUCAUAAAGAAGAGACACCACACUCCAAAAAGUCGUCACAAUGUGUUAACUCCCUCCACCAUAUAGCUCGCUUACGCACGGUUCUUCGUGGCUAUGGCGAAAUGGUUUGCCUCCACGUCAUCCAGGAUCACCCUGCAGCGACGACUCUUCCGAAUGAUCUUCCUCACCGUAGCCUCGGUCACGAAGUCAGAGCCACCCUCCCUCAGCAACGCUUUCCUGGAAGCUGCUUUGGAAAGGACAGUAGACUUCUCCCCACACGCAAGCCGUGCACUGGUUCGUGUUGGUGGGGUUCCAUGCUUCUUCCUCGGAAAUCCCGUAUAUCCAGUCGGCUUCGCUUGAGGUCCGACCCAAACCCCAUGCACACAGUCAACUCUAGCUAUGUCCCUCACCUCCUCUCCUUCAAAAGGCCUAGCCGGUUGAGCGUCAUUAUUUACGUCAAGACAGGGGAUCGCGCCUCCCACGUGUAGCAUCAGUGCACCAUUUUCCUCCCUAGUAUUCGACCUGAAACCUCCAUCCAUCGCUACCAUCAACGGCGAACAAUCGUCCACCGCUUUCCUAGAAGGGCCCACCGUACCAGGUAAAACUCUCUCUUCCUGCUUCCAGGCCCACAGCAGUGGCCCAAGAGAAAUCGCGUACAGGCCCCCACAAACCAUAACCUUGAGAAGCCCAUUUGUGUGUUUGGUUACCUUUCUAUAAGUUCGCCAAUUUAUCAUUUUAUAUUUUGUCAUCGUUUUAAACAGAUGGCAUCUCAAUUAUCUAUUUAAUUUACAACUCAAAAAAUAGAUAAAAAAAAUUUAGAUAAAAAAUAAUCUUCUAGUUCGUUAAUACUAUCAAAAUUGAACUAGGCUAUUAUACUAUUAAAAGCACCUAGUCAACGGUACUCUAGCACAUCUAGCUAGAGCGAAAUUCAUACCCGAUCAAACUCUAAUACAUAUAUUUAUAACUCAUGCAAAUCAAAUCCAAUGAAGCCUAGUGCAAUACUUUAGGGCUUAGUAAGAUCCUCACUCUAGCAUAUAUAAACAUAGUGGAAAAUAUAUUAUACUCGGUUAAUCCUGAUACAUACACUCAUGAAUUAACCACUCUCUAACUUUGGGUAAUAUCAAAUUCGACCUAUCUCAAUACAUAAACUUGGAGUUUGGUCAUAUCUCCACCUUUAAAUAUACAACUAAGGUGAAUAUGAUCGAACUCUAAAAUAUAUACGUAGAGACGAUUAGACUCUAAUGCAUAUUUGAGAAUUUGAAAUUGAAUUUUGAAUGAAAAAGGAUAUGUAAUGAGAUUAUUAGGAUAAAAGAUAUUUUCUAAUUGAAUAUUAAAUUUUAGGAUAUGGAUAUGGGCGGUCAUUGAUUGGACCCACUUAGAUGAAACUUGUUGGGCACAAAUAAUAAUAUUCGUUGGGCCGAAAUAAAGCCCAAAUUAUUGUAUAGACUUAAAAAUUCAACGGGCUUUCAUAAGGCCUACCAACUCGUAUUUAUAAAUGGGCCAAUUGAAUAUGUUUAAAUUAUUAUUAUUGGCUCCAAAAUUUUUUGAUCAACAUGAGACCUAUUAGAAUUGUAUGAGUUCGAAUUUAAUUAAUUUUGAUUAUGAUUAGAAUUACUUUAUCAUAUAUUUUAUAUAUAUAUAUAUAUAUAUAUAUAUAUAUAUAUAUAUAUAUAUAUAUAUAUAUAUAUAUAUAUAUGUAUUUUGCAUUUAAAAAAUAUAAAAGAAAAAAAAUUGCGGAUAAUCCGCAUACUCACCUGCCCACCCGCGGGUGGGUAUGGGUAAUGAUGUUGACUACCCAAAAAUUUAUGGAUAAAUUUUACCCAUGUCCAAAUAACCCGUGGGGAUAAUAAUCCGCCCGUGGAUUAUCCAACCCGCCCGUUUGCCAUCAGAAGCUAUGAAUUUAACACGAAUGCAUGCAUGUGCCUAGCUAGCUACAAAUGCCGUAGAAGGUACUCUAAAUGGUACAUAUUGUACUACAUAUACAUAAAUACACAUAGGGGGGUAUUGGUGCUAGAUAUAUUUGGUACCAUGCAUAUAUAACUUCUCUUUAAUUAAUCCUAGUCAUUGCCACUAAUAUAGGGUCGUACCUUCCUGGUACAAGGUGGGAAGAAUCAAAGCUUUUAUCUUAUAAUAAUACUAUUCCAUACUAUUGGAUUUCAUAAUCAUCUAGCAAAUAAAGCUUAUCUAAGCAUCACAUUUAUAUAAAAAGUUUUGAGUUUAGGUCCCACACAAAAGAAUUUUCUGUGAUUUGUUGAUAUGUCACCCAAUCCACAUGAUGUUUUACAUGUAUAUAUAAACUAAUCAAAAUAUAUUUAAUAUUUCAGCUAAUUAGCAUGCGUAAUAGAUAUAGAAGGUACGUAAAAUUAAAAAUAAAACAGAGUUCGAGUACGUGACGUUACUGAAUGGCUAAAACUAAAAAUUAGUUGUCCUACCAUAUUAUUUAAUAAAAUCAAUAAAAAAAUAAGUCCAAGGACAUAUCUAAUUAAAUAUAUCUAUAAUAUAUAAAAAUAAUAAUAUUUUGAAGGACGAAUAGCAGUACUUGAACAUUAUAUUGCUUUUAAGUAAUCGUAUAUCUGCUUAAAAAGAUAAUCAUUAUUUUGCAUAAAAAAGGUAACCAUUAUCUUCAUUUAAAAAAAUUAAUAGUGACAACCCAAAUUAAGGAUGCUAAGCCUAUAGGGAUCAAAGCAACAUGUGUGCACUGUGAAAACUUAGAAAAGGAAGAAGAUAAAAAAAAUUUGAUAUAUACCAUUAAUUACUUGCAAUUUGUUUGUAUUAAAAGUAUUAUUCUGAAUUUGAUAAUCAAACAUUUUCGGACUAUAAUAAUAGUCUAGUUGUUAGAUAAUUGAGUGCGGAUCAUGAGGUUGGAGAUUUGAGCCCUCCGUACGAGGUUUAAUUUCGAGCUUAAAUUGUAGAAAUUUCUACGCUUGUUUGAAUGAUUCUCCGUGUUCUUUUUCCCGGUCUCUGCUUGCUAAUUUCAAGAUUCGAUUCAAUUUAGAGUGUACCUAACAUUCCUUUUCGAAGGACAUAAUUUUGGGUUGUUUGUUUUAAUUCACCUUCUUUUAAAAUGUCUAAUUGUAGGCUACAUGCAUACACACUAUCAAUUUCUACCAAUUAUCCAAGAUAACGGUGGUGCAAUACUGUUAGUUAUGAUAUAUAUAGUGUCCUUUUCUUUUUCACUGUCGCACGCGGAAGAGCAUAGUAAUUAUAAGUCUGGCGAGUACUUCGUAAAAAGUUUAAAUAGUAUAGAAAAAAAGAAUUAAAACGUACAAAAUUUAUCUGAAUUAUAGGUCAUUUUGAGUUGAUUAUCAAAAUUGAAAGAUUGAAUAGUUAAAUCAAUAUUUCAAAUAGUUGGUAGUUGAUUUAAAGCAUGCCAUAGUUCAGAUAAAUUUUAUAUGUUUUUACUAAAAUAAAACAACAAAUAUACGAGUACAAUGUAGAAAAGUGCAAUUCAAUCUUUCAAAAUGGUUGGUGACACUUCAAAACCUUUUUGAUAAAAAUAUUAUCACAACGAGAACCACAAAUUGUUAGAACAACAAAUUGACACUCUAUGUUGAGAUUCAAGAUAUCAGUUUUGACUACUCAAACCGAUCGUCCCUAGUGCAAGUGGCAAAGGGCUUAGUCAUUGAUACCCGAGAUCUCAAAUUCGAAUUCUAGUUGAUUCACAUUUCUAACUAAGUUUAUUUCUAAUUAAUGAAAUAAACGAAGCGGGUAGCGUGCAUGCUACCUAUCUCUCAACAAAAAAAAAUAUUUUUGACUACUCAAAACUCUACAUUUGAUUGGAAAAUUUUAUGAGUGCUUAAUCCCAAAAAGAAGAAGGUGGAGCAAUGUUAAUAUCAAUUCAUGAGAGAAACGUAUCAAAGUGGGACUUAUUUGGAGAAAAAUUCUCUAUCGCCAUGUCCCAGUCGUCAAAGAUGCUCACAAAAGUGACUAGUGAUAGCUCAUGCAAGAAUCAAAUGCUUGCCACUUCUUAUGGUUUGUAGUUUUAUUCAUUAUUCAUGUGCUCAUUAAAAAAAAAAAAAAGAUAGCGCAAAUGUUGAUUCUUCUUUUCUCUUGGAUCUUAAGUUCUCAAUUUGGAAUUUUGCUGCUUAAAAAAAACAAAACAAAGCAAACAAAAUAAGAUGAAAGAAAAUUAAAUGAAAAGGUAUCUUAAUUAUAGCACAUUUAUUUGUAUUACUAUUAUUUUAUUUUUGGUAACAAAUUAAAGAACUUAUCUGAACUAUGUAUGGACUAUUUUGGAUUAACUACUCAAUUUUUUUAUAAUUUUAAUUUUACUAUCCAAUCUUUCAAUUUAUUCGGUUUGAGUCAGUCAAAUUUGAGCUAUCAUUUACGUUAAUAAAUUUAUAGUUGCGAGAAUUGUAUGAUGUAUAGUAAUUAAAUCUGUAAAAGUAAACGAUAUAUUCAAAAUUUAAAAUCAAAAUGAUAUUAACUGAUUUAAAUCAAAUAAAUUUAAAAGUUAGAUAACCAAUUUAAAAUGGCCGAUAGUUUAGAUAAUUUGAACGUUUUUACCCUUAUUUUUAAAAGCAACUCUAUUGAUCUUAAAGCAACAUUUAUUGCUCAUCUAGUAUAACUAACAAAGUUACAAAAAUAGCCUCUUUAAGAGAGAGAGAGAGAGAGAGAGAGAGAGAGAGUAGCACCACUCACAAUUGUCAACGAUGACACAAAUAAUUACAACACAAAUUUAAGUAUGCAACUCCUCCCCCUUGUAUCUUUUUUUUUUUUUUUUUUUUUUUUUUUUUCUCUCUUCUCAAUCCUCUUUUCUUUAUGUAUAUCUUGUGCUUCAACACGAAUGCAGGGAGAACGAAUGGUGGUGAUGGAGGCCGCUGCGGGCGGACGACGAGCUUUGCGAUUCGCGCUCGAUGAGCCACCGGAGAUGGAGGAACUCGUCGACGGAGCACGGGAGCUUGAUCGGGCCCGACGAGCUGUAACCGUAGACCUCCUUGGCUGUUUCCAGCAGCUUCCGGAACAGCGGGUGGUUGAGGUACGAUAUCGGGAUGACGAACCGCCGGAACCUGCCCUCGUCGCCCUCGACGCCGACUCGCACGGCGAGAGACCCCUUCUUCACCUUCAUCCUCUUAUCCUCUUCCAUGUUAACAGUUAUUGUUGAUAUGUUAAUUUCUAUAUAGCUUUGUAUGUAUUGGAGAAUUUGGUUGUGUGGGUUUGGUGUAUAUAUAUAGAGGAGGGGGAGUGGAUAGAGAAAGGAGUGGACGCAGUGUUUGUGGAAAAUGUUGUACGUUUUUGCUACGGAUCCCGUGUCCUUUUGUUUUCGUGCUAAACUUAUUAUUAUUAUUAUUAUUAUUAUUAUUAAAUAUUUUUAUUAUUAUUAUUUUUUUUUUCGAAAUGUUUUAUUAUAUAUUUAUGGGUGGCUAAGUGAGUAGUGUGGGGUGAGUGGACUCUUGUCACGGACCACAACACUCGGCACCGGCCUCGCCGCAUGAUGUGGGCACGGAAGAAUCUGAGCGGGUGGACGACGCGUCUCGCACGAAUGUCACAGCGUGUGUGCGUGUGCGUGUGCGUGUGCGUGUGCGUGUGCGUGUGCUUCGGACCGGGCUUGGGGAUGCGAACAGAUGCGGAUAUUUUCACUGACAUGUCCGAAUCCGAACAAAACGGUUUUAAUCGAUCUUAAGAUCUUAAUAAGGGUCUGUUUGGUUCAUUGUGGAAUGCAGACCUACUCAACUUGUUAGCUUUUUUGUGUCUUUUGUCAUUGGGCGUGCAGAAUGUUAGAUCUAUUUAAGCCAAUAAUAAAUAAUCAAUAAUUCUUCCCAACGUCUAGACUGUUAAUGCAAUAUGUGCGAAUUAAACUUGCGCCACUGACUCUAAUACCACUUUUGGAUCAGAAGCGCUAAUUUACUAUUCUAAAAGUACGUGCUGAUAGCAAGAACGCACUUAUCGCACUUAAGGACUCAAACACAACGCUUAUAGGCUUUGACUUGACUUAAUCAAUUUGAACAUUUGAUCUAUCAUUGAGCAUCUUACUGUUAGGUUUAUUAUGUACUGCAGCCUUCCCCAACUUAUUGAGUUCAUUCAUUUCAACUUUUAAGUUUACUGAAUAUAUUAUCGUGGAGUAUAAAAUUGAUCCUACUUUAGUUAAUAAUAAAUAGCCAAUACAAGCAGACGGAUCCGGAGCCUUGAUGGGCUCCCACCUCCUACCCUAUUUCCUUGAUAUGUCGAACAAGUUCAGAGUGGUUAAAUUAUUUUACGUUUAGAGACCGGAUGACCGAUUCUAACCAAAAUGUCUCUUUAUCCUUCUGAGUUCAGCCACUAAUUUUGAUUCUCUUAGUUGUAGAACAAGAAGUACGGAGGAAAGGCAUUGUACAAAGACAACAUAAGCAAAAUUUUAACCGUGUGAUGCCUUUUCUGCUCGAAUUCUUAUUUUACAUCUAUUUAAUAUAUAUGCAAAAUUCGUUAAAAUAUAUUCCUGAGCCUACUAAUUUUCUACUACAUUAAUUUUCUAGACAAUACAAUAUGUUAAAUGUCUAUCUCAUCAGAUCGAUCUUUCAGGUCAUAAUACCAAGCUGCUGAAAUUUUUUCUUUUAAAUUAAUUAACAACAUGAUCCCUAUUAUCAUUCAUAGUGUGGAAAAGGGCACUCGAAUCCACCUCACAAUUAAAUCAUCAUGACUAUGAGAUCACAGUACAGGACUACAUGUAAAGCCUAAAGAAAUAAUGAUGUGAUUCUCCACUGUGACACUAAGAAGAGAAGGCCUAAGUUAAGAGAGCAUGAAAAUGUUUAAGUCCCAAAGUCUAAAGAGGAACUUGGGGCCACAUAUACUAUAAAGGGUUCUUAUAUCCCUUAUUUCCUUUUCUUUUUUUUCCCCUGUUUUUUUUUCCUACAUUGGUAUCUCUCUCUAACUUUUUCUAGCUAGUUGGACAAUAUGUACUCUCCACUCUCUCUCUCCCCUCUCUUCUAUUAUCUCUCCAAUAGCCAUAGAAUAAAUUGGCCAUUCUAGCACAUGAAUAGCCACAUGGGUAAAUUGCACCACUGGUCCCCAAACUUUUGUGCAACUUUUAAUUUGAUUCUCAAACUUUUGUUUGAUGUUAGACAUUUCAAAAUAUUGAAAGUAUUUCAAUUUGUACCCUACGUACUCUCUACAUUUAUGAAUCAUGUAUUGUGGACUUUUUAUCUCUUCUAUCAUAUCUAAAUUUUAUUAUCUAUUAAUUAAGUUACAAUAUUUUAUACAUUUAUAACGGCCUACUGAAUAUAUUAAAGGCUAUGAAAAAACAGUUGACGACAAAGCGUAAAAAAGAUAUAGUUCUCAAUUUUAGUAAAAUCAUAGAAAGUAAAUCUAAAUGUAAUAUGCCUAAUGUACGUAAUAUUUCUUGCAGAUAUAAAAUUAUUAGAAACUAAACGGUUGAAUAAAAGCAUAAAACAGACAUAAAAAACUAGGGAGGCAUACAAAUAAACCACGUGCAUGUACGUAAUAAUUUCAUAUUUACAAUUAAAGCAAAAGUGAAACCACUUUGAAUUUUUAAAUUCUAUAAAUUCGACUUAAAAUUUGAGGACGGAGUAAAACAUAAUUAAAAGGUGAGGACUAGUAGUGCAAUUUUCCGUUAUGCGCAUAUCUAUCUAACUCUAUCACCUUAUCUUUUUCUUUUUCUUUUUCUUUUUUUCUUUUUAUUGUUAUUGGGCGCAUAAACCUUUGGAGCGUUGCGUGAUACCGCGCAACACCGCACCGCACCCGAAUCCGCAUAUACUAUAGGAUGUUGACACGUGGACUCCCCCAGCAAAUACAUGAAAAAUUUUAGAAUACACCGAAUAUAUUAGUGACAUGGCGUCACAAACCAAUUAAAUAAAUUUUUUUAAAAAUAUAUGUCCUAUCAUGAUUAUAAAAAAAUAUUUUUAUUAUAUUUUUAUUUGAAAAGAAAAAAUACGAUUGACUUGUUAUUGAUGACGUGGUGCAAGCGUGACAGUGCAGAAAUUCUCGCAAAUACACGGCCCGUACGGACGCAUCUCGCCUCGCUUUUGCGUUGAUAUUGGUGCGGUGCGGGUCCCCCGAAUCGUGUGGUUGCUCCGCUCCGAUAGGAGGAUGGGCGGUCGAUAGGGACCCGCCCAUUUGUUCGUUUGGUUCCAUAUCAACUUUUGGGGAGCCAUUUUUUAUUUUAUAAUUUAUAAUUUAUAAUUUUUUUAUUUUGCCACUUAUAUUACUCGUAAUGUUAUUUUAGUGAAACUCCUGAUGUAGGUGUCGUCUAUUAGCCAAAUAAAUAAAUAAAUAAAUAUAUAAAAAAAAGGAUAGAGUACUUAUUUAUUGCUUAAGUGAUCUCAAAAUCAACUAAUAUCAAUUGUACAUGUAAGGAGUAUUUGCGAUCACUUGAUUACUAACUAAUUAGUAAUUAAAGCUGAAAAUUAUAAAAUUUGGUUCCUAAUAAGUUCAUGAGAUCGAUAUAAAUGAUGUUUAAUAAUGUCAACUGUUGAUUUAGAGAAACCAGCAUAAAAAAAGGAGUUGACAUUUCUAGAAGCAUGCCAAUUCAAUUCGAAUUCGUGAUGCAACAUUUUCAUUGAUGUCAAAUCUAGAGGUACUAAUAUGAUGAUUUUUCAAUUAAAAAGAUUUGAAUGAGAAAAUUUGUCUAUGCUUUCCCUUUUAAUAUGGUGAAAUUUGAUAAUUUGGAUAUUAAAUAUAUUUUCAAAUUUAUUUUUAUUAGAUUUUGUUUGGAUAUAUAUUAAAUAUAUUUUUGAAUUUAUUCUUAUCUCACGUAUUAAUUUCACGUGCUCAUGAGAGGAGACAUCGACUCAAAGUUUUGCAUAAUUUACUUUGAUUUCUCGGUUAUAACAUAUAUAGAAGAUAUAUGUGGAAGUGAAUCAUAUUAAUUGUACCUAUAUAUAGUGAGACUUUUAGGGUUUAGGUUUCUUUUUUAAUCUUUUUUAAUAAAUAAGCUACCUACAUUGAUUCUCUGUGGCUGGCUCAUUUAUUUGUGUGAAUGGAAACGGUUUUUUCCUUCGAAAUUUUAUUGAUUAAUUCUAGAUCUACAUUGUAUAUGUUCAUGCACCCUUACUUGAAUAAUCCUCAUUAUGUCUAACCACUAAGAAUCCCAAUGAUACAAUUUGAAUAGAAAAAUUAAAUAAAACUAAUUUUAAGUCAUUUUCGAUCUUCUGUAUAUACAACACUAGCAUCUUAACAGUAACAGGAUAAUUUCAUUAUAAUUUAUGCAACUGCUAAUUAAGAAUAAUUAAUAAUCAAAUUCGAUAGAAAAAUAAGUUCUGGUGCGAUAAACUAAAACUUUUUCGUUGGUUCGAGCUGUUUAAAAUCAACACGCAAUUAGAUUCAAGUAUAAUGCCAGUGGAUCAACUUCGAGCCCUUUUAACUCAAAAGUGUCAAUUCAUAGUUUUCAAUGUUAGAACUAAUUGAUGGUUAUGUGAGGUUGAAGAUAAUAAUGGUGACCACCACUUACAAAUUACAAUGAUUCGAUAGUGAUAUUGCAUGUUGCCGAGUGAGAACCAUGAGAGCUAUUGUUUGAGAUCAGCAAAUAUCCAGCAGCAAAUAAUAUUUCGUCAAAAAGACAAUGCGGUCACUAAAGGUGGUAUAAAAUCAUUCACUGGUCCCCUUGAAAACGCGGUCGAAGCUCGAGAAUCUUCCUCUUUGAGUCUGUUUGACUUGUUUGGAGAGCUUCUGCUGAAGCUCAAUUUAAGCAAAGUACUGAUAACCGUGUUACCACAAAUGCUAGGGAGAUGUAGUUUGUUCGGCGUGAAAAUAUCGAAAUAGAAAUAAAAGAAAUAGAAAAAAAUAAAGUACAUAAAAAUUUCAAUGGUACGUCAGUAUUGAUCUACGUUCACGAACGAAGAUGGAGCAAUACAGAUUAAUUAUGCUAAAAUCCAAUAACAGAAUUCGAACCCAUUUAGCAGAGAGGGUGGCCCGCGGCCCAAAGUUUUGAGACUUUGGAGGGCUCCUGCAAGUUGUGCGGCGGGGCUGCUUUACGGUGCAGUUGUCUCGAAUUUGUGUCGACUCUGCCGACAUCCCUUCACACCAGUCAAUCAACCCCCAAAAGUCAAUCCAAUCCCCAAAGUCAAUGAAGAUUUUAUCGGUCCCAAAUCGUUGAAAAGAUGAACAUACAUAUAUGCCCUCGUGAGUCAACUCGUUUUCAACCGUUGUAUUUUUCUUUUCGCUUAAGAUGGUAGAGCGCACUACUUACUACAUUACAAAUGAUCAACACGGUAUUUUGGUACCUCUUCGGCCAUAUUUGGAUGUCCAAAUAAUUCAUCAAAGGAUAUUUUGAUAGAUUUAUAUUUGUUUGUAAAAUAACAACAAAAUUAAAUGCAUACAAAAAUUCAGGAUUAUAAAUAAAAUGAAAUAACUCAUUAGAGCGCCAUAGAAAAAUAAUUUUUGAUCAAUCCGCGGAAGUAAAAAAUUCGGUUGUCAUCUGAACGUCACCAAAUAAACUUGGAUAAUUUGAUUUCUCCUCUUUCCCAGAUCAGGCACUCUUUCGUAUAGUGUGAAAUAGAUAGUAAUCACAUAAAGUAAUCGGAUCGGUAUCUUUUUAUAUAGAGUCCAAAUCAACUUUUCAUCAAUAUUUGAUUAAGAUUCUAUUUAAUUUAAAUAGAUGAGAAAAAGAUAAAAUACAUCAUAUCAAACAGUUCUAUAUCUAUUAGAAUUGACUUUUAUUUACAAUAAAUUUAGAUUUAGUACACAUGCCACAUUUAUGAAAAUCCUAACAUAUUCUACUCAACGUGAGAUAUUUCUAUUAUAAUAGAAAGCUACAAGAGUGACAAAAUUAAUGUCUAGAAUGCAAUAGUAUAUUCCGCGUUUAAAUUAUUUUUUUAAAAUAAGAUAAAGGUUGAUACUUUUAAAAACGUAAAAAAUCUAACUAGUGCCAACUUUAUUAUUAUGCAUGAAUUUUUAUAUCUAAUAAGUUAUUAUGGAAUACUUUAUUUGACAUCCAAACAAGACUUUCUGGAAUAUAUAUCUAAUCAUUGCUAUUAAAAGAUGAAUUAUAUUCAAAUUUUUAUAAUAAUUUUUAUUUCUGCUAUAAAAAAAAGCCAUCAAAUUGGAGCCUCGAAUUUUCAACUCCCAAUUCCAGUGGAGUACAACAGGAAGGGCACUGUAUUUACUCCUCUGUGUGCACCAACGCAAAAAGCGGAAAAGGUAGUAAUAUUUCUUGGUGUGAUCAACCAUGUGCAUAGAAAUCUUGUGCAUCGUAUUUUACACAAAUUUUACCUAAAAAAACUAGAAAAACACUCUUCUAUAUAUAAAUGAUCGUAAACAUAAGCGACAGUAGGAAGUGUUAUGGGAAUAGUAUUUUAAGGAGAGAUAUUUUAAUAAAGCAAUUAAAAAAAACCAAAUUAGAGACUUAGAAUCCUCUCUACUUCUCACUUUUCCGAGUUUUCUACAAGAGACAACUAUUGCUGAAAGCAGAAGUGAAAGGACCUAAUAAUCGACCGAUUAGUGGCCAGAAAAGUGACUAGCCUAGAUCGGAUUAGCAAAUAAUAAUGGGUCCAAACUGAGCUCGAUCAAUCCAAGUAAUAUCUCAGUCCGGCCUGUUUAGAUUGUUUUGGACUCAGAUGGUUUUCGUAGAACUGAAUUGGCCAGAAAUAUGUUUAGCCCAAAAUAUUUGCAUUCACCCUUGACCACUCCUAGCAGCAGAAAGAAAAAUUCGCAGAAAAAAAAUAGGCAAGAACUAAAAGAUGGCAAUUUCAGAGUUUUUUUACCGACCGUCCCUAGAGCAAGUGGCAAAGAACUUGAUGGUUGGUAUCUGAGACUCAAGUUCGAAUCCUAUUUGAUUCAUAUUUCUAGCUAAGUUUAUUUCUAAAUGAAAUAAACGAAGCGGUAUCUCUCAAAAAAAAAAAAAAAAAAUUUCAGAGUCUUUUCGGUAGCCGGGUGCGUCUCACGAGCAUGCCGCACUGUACAGCUUUUUAAGAAAUCUUUGCAUGCAUGCAGAAUUUUUUCAAAAUGGUACACAUUCAUCCAGCCAUAUAACUAAGGAUCUGUUUACAUGCAUAAAUAUUUUAUUAAGAAAUUUUUUUUAAAUUUUUUCCAAGAAGUUUAUAGUUUUUGGUAGAUUAGGGUAUAAUUAAAUGUUUAGAAAAAUAUACGAUAUGUGGCAUUGUCACAUCGUAGGUAAAUUAUACUAUCCAAAUAAAUUAUUACUUUCAUGAUCUUACAUAAAGCAAAAUCUAUACUCUGAACUUCCGCCAGCAUGCAUUAUUAAGAAGCCUCGUAUGUGUUAUGCUGUAGAGUUUAGUAGUCAUAUAAUUUGUUCUUUAGUUAUUUUCUUCACGCUUCUUAGUUUUUGCGCAAAAUAAGAGUGACAAAAAAAAAAAGAAGCUAUACUCUCUUCUAAAAGUAGAUGAAAGUAAAAUUUAAAUUAAAAUUUGAACUCUUUUAGAAAGUGAGGGACAUACCAUAAGGUGAUUCGUAAAAAUAUUUUGAUGACUGAAUUUUCAUCCAUUCAAAUUCAAAUUCUAUUCACCAUUGAAGGUAACUAUAACAUCACUUCACUUCAAAAAAAUAAAAAAAAAAAACUAAAAAAACCAAAACAAAACAAAAUAAGAGGCACUUAGGCAUGGGAUACUUGUCAAAAUCUAGCUAAUUUUUUUACCAGAGCACAUGAGAUGAAGGAAACUCCAAUGUACAUAAUCAUGUCACAUGGCACUCUAAAGAAUAUAGAAAAGCUAAAAUUGCUUAAACUAGUACCUACUCAUGCACAUGACCAAUGUGCUCGCCUACCAAUUUUUCCCUCAUAUAUCAACUCAUCAAUGAAUAUACGCAACUACGUACAUAUAUAACCUACUCUAUCUCUACACAAUGUCCUCAUUGAAGCAUCACAAAUGUUACAACUUUUAUUCUUCGUUCUCCUAUCACUCAUUCCCUAUGUCAUUCCCACUUCCUUCGAUAUCCGGCUCGAUCUCAAGCACGUUGAUGCUGAUUCGGGCUUGACUCGGGUCGAGCUCCUCCGACGAGCGGCGCUCCGGGGCAAGAGCAGGGCGACGAGCCUAAUACAUAACUCUACCAUCAACGCGCCGGUCCAGUCUAACGGGGCUGAGUACUUGGUCGAGUUGGCGAUCGGCUCGCCAGCUCAACCUGUCAUGCUCAUCCUUGACACUGGCAGCGAUCUCAUCUGGACUCAGUGCCAGCCCUGUCUCGAAUGCUUCAACCAGAGCCUCUCUCUCUACGCUCCCUCAAACUCGUCCACUUUCUCUAGGCUCUCUUGCUCUAGCAAGCUAUGCCGGGCCCUUUCUCUCUCUGCGUGUCACGGAUUGUGCAUGUACAUGUACGGUUACAGUGAUAAAUCUACUACCAUAGGUGUUUUGGGCGCCGAGACCUUCACCUUUGGUACCACCACUAAAAAGGUCAAAAUCCCCCGUCUCGGGUUCGGAUGUGGGAUUCUGAACCAAGGAAUAUUUUUAACCGAAUCUGGCAUAGCCGGUUUCGGCCGCGGACCCUUAUCAUUAAUCUCUCAACUAAAAAGUAAAAAGUUCUCUUACUGCUUCACUCCCAUACACGACUACAAAAGAAGCACCCUAUUUUUUGGGACGUUAGCGAAUCCAAAAAAGAUCCGAAGUGGAUCCAUCAAAACCACUCCACUAAUCAAAAACCCGCUAAGGCCAAGCUUGUACUACCUCUCUCUCAACGGAAUAACGGUCGGAAAUAAACGCUUAAAAAUACCGAAGUCGGCGUUCACUAUAAAAGAAAACGGCAAUGGUGGAGUAAUAAUAGAUUCCGGCACCGGCUUUACCCGAUUGAACCGGGUCGCGCAUGAUCAGGUAAAGUCCGCAUUUGCAUCUCAAUUAAAGCUCAGCGUCAUUAACGACUCUACAGGAACGUUUGACGUCUGUUUCUCGGUGCCGAUAUCUUCUUAUUUGAGAGUUGAAGUGCCCAAGCUUAUAUACCAUUUCGAAGGUGCGGAUAUGGACGUACCGCGGGACAAUUACGUGGUUGAUUUAGACGAAGGCGGUGGAUUAAUGUGCUUACUUGUAUCGAAAUCGAAGUCGAAUGAUGUUUCAAUAAUAGGGAAUAUACACCAGCAAAAUAUGUGGAUCGAAUAUGAUUUGGAGAAGAACGAGUUGGGGUUUGCUCCUGCCCAAUGUGAUCAGCUGUGACUCAAUUUGGUUUCUAAAUGAUAGCAUUAGCUUUAAUUUGAUAGGAAUAUAUGUGGAGCUGAUUUAUGUUUGUAUUAGUUAAGGGAAAAGGAUAUGUUAAAACUUUUUAGUGAUCUCGUACUAUUUAGAGAUUAUCUUUUAGAAAUGGUAAAAUGCUUCAUGUACGGUCCUAAAGAAGUUCGUUAUUGUUAAUGAGUUAUGUGUAGAAAUAAAUACAAUAAAUUUCUUUCAUAUUUUGUAACUAUAGUUAACACACUUGCGUACAAUUCUAAACAAGAACUAAAAUAGUAUAUAUUCUGGACGUAUUACUUGCCAUAAGACUUUGAUUAAGUAAUACGUACUACAUCCUAUACCUCAGUCAAAAUGAUCGACGUAAUUCUACUGACAAAAAUGCAGAAUUACUGUUAUUGUUAUUAACUUUUUGGGGGGAAAAAUGAUCGAAUACUAAAGGAAAAAUAAUUCAGAUAAAUGCAGGAUUGAUGACCUAGUACAAUUAGUGAAUUUCGCGUCAAUCAGUUAGUGGAGGAAUCUAUGUAAUUCUUUUAUUACAUGAGGUGGGGAAACACCAACUUAGUACAAGAUUAAGUACUUAAUAGGGCAAUAUAUUUUGAUUCUUAUGGAAUACAGGACCUUCAAUUGAAACAAUCUCACUCAUUAAUUAAGAUCACAGCUGAUCGCACCGCGCAGGAGCAAAAGAUAACUUCUGAUUGUCCAGAUCGUAGACUACGUGCAUAUUCUGCUGCUGAAAAUUGCCAAUUGUAGAGCUUUCGUCUCCGGAAUCGAACAUCGCCAAGCACAUUAAACCGACGGUAGAAUCUUGGUACAUGUAAUUUUCGUGCGGCAGAUCCAUAUCAGCGCCUUCGAAGUGGAAUAUCAGCUUCGGCACGUCCACCUUUGCUGACGGAGACGACGGCAGCGAGAAGCAAAGGUCAAAAACCUCUGCGGUGGCGUUAGCCACGGGCGGCUUCACCUGCGACAAGAAGGCGCUCCUCACGAGCUUGUAAGCAACCGUGGUUAGCUGCGUGAUGGCCGUUCCGGAGUCUAUGAUCACUCCGCCCGUCCCGUUUCGCUGCAGCACGAAUGCCGACUUCGGUAUCGGUAGACGGGUCGUGCCGACCGUUAUACCGUCGAGAGAGAGGUAAUAGAAGGUUGGCUGUGAAGGAUUCAGAACGAACGGAGUCGACCGGACGGCAGUAGCACUGCCGUUCAGAUCGGCAGCUGAUCCUAACAUGAGUGUGCUGCUCUUCGAAUCGUCGUCGUCGUAGGAAAUGAAGCAGUAAGAAAACUUUCCGACUCCUAACUGAGAGAUGAGAGACAAGGACCCGCGACCAAAGCCUGCGAUCCCGGAUUCGUUGUUGAAGAGGCCCCCGUUGAGAAACCCACAGCCGAAUCCAAGGUUCGGGACCGUGACGUUGUUAGAGGACCCGAAGGUGAAGGCCUCGCUGGCGAGAGUGCCGAUGGCGAUUGAGUUGUCGCCAUAGCCGUAAAGAUAGAGGCAUUGUGCGUGGCAGGCGGAUAGAGGAAGAGCCCGGCAGAGCUUGCUGGAGCAGGCGAGCGGCGAGUAGGUGGAUGAUUGCGAAGGAUCGUACAAAGGAAAGCGCUGGUUGAAGCACGAGAGGCAGGGCUGGCACUGCGUCCAGACGAGAUCGCUGCCAGUAUCAAGGUUGAGCAGAAGAGGCUGUGGUGGCGUGCCGAUGGAAACUCCGAUGGUGUAGUCGCCGGCAUUUGGCAAGACAGGCACGUCAGUUGUGGAUAUCGAGUUGGCAGAACCCCCGCGCGGCCUUGGACACGAGCAUCGCACCCCGGGCCCUGCUUCGGAGCGCCAUGCGCUGCAGGAGCUCGAAUUUGGUGAAGUUCCGGCCCGCAUCGACGUGGGUCAGGUCCACGCGCAGACCGUCGAAGGCAGAAAUGGCCGGAGGAACUAGCGAGACAAGGAGGAGCACCAGGACUGCAGGCAGCAUAUUUUCAGAGGGCUUAACAGCAUACAUGUUGUGGUCUGAGUUACAGAGACUAUAUGUUUUGCGAAGCUAACACUUGUUUGGAGGAAUGUUUAUAGAGUGGGGGAUUUAGCAAGAAUGUGUCUCCCUGAUGGCGAAUAUUGUUGAAUUAUGUAGUGUUAAAUUUUUCUUGGUCUAAUACGAGGACUUGGUUAACGCGCUAUUACAUAUAUUUCCAAAUUUUGGGUCUCAAUCGCCGUAGUGAAGGGGUUUAGCUCGAACACAUUAUACAUUAUACAUUAUACAUUAUACGUAUCUUGACGCGGCAAAAUUAUGCGUGCCUAUUAGCGGCGUAAACGAGCCGGACACGAACGAGUGGGGGCCGGCUCGUAUUCGGCUCGUUUAAUAAACAAGCUGAAUACGAACUGGCUCGUUAAAGUAUUGAGCCGAAAAAUUCAGCUCAUAUUCGGUUAUUAAUAACGAGCCGAAUACGAGCUGGCUCACGAACUGACCAACGAACAAUAAGUUAAGCCAACGUUUAGAUCGGGUAUAAAGGGGGAUAAGAGGUUAUCCCCCUUUAUACCCAAACAUGAUUUUGGGGGGUGGGCACUCAACCCGGUUCCCACCCGGUGGGAACCGGGUUGGGUGGGAACAACUUGUUCCCACCCAGGGUUGGGACAACGGGUAGGAACAACUUGUUCCCACCCACCGGGUAGAGAGAAAGAGAGAGAGAUUGAUUUUUAUUUUAAAUUAAAUUUUUAAAAUUUAAAAUUAUAAAUUUUAAAGUUUAAAUUUUAAAUUUGAUAUUUUUAGUUUUUAAAAUUUAAAUUUGAUAUUUUAUAUCUUUUAAAUUUAAAUUUGGUCUUAAAUUUAAAAUUUGAUAUUUAAAAUUAAAAUUUUNAAUAUCAUUAUUUUCUAUUUAUAACUACCAACUAUUCUAGCUUAUACUCACAUUUUCAUUCAAACAUAAUUUUUCUAAUUCCAGUUUAUAUUUACAUUUUCAUCCAAACAAAAAAAUAUUUUUAUUUUUAUAAAAAUCCAUACUUGUACCUAUCCCUAGUAUAACUAGUUCUUUCUUAUACCCGAAUCAAACGGAGCCUAAAAGAAUUAGAUUGAAUAUAUAUAAAAAAUAAAUUUAUAGAACUUAUUCAUUAGACUUUGAUCUAAUAGUUGAAACUUUAUAUAUAAAUAAGUCUUUUUAUAAUUAAGUUUGUCUUUAUAUUUUUAUUUUGCUAAAAAUUAAAUAAUAAAAAUAUAUAUUAUAUAUAUAGUUAUUUAUUUAUAUAUAUAUAAAUAUAAAUUAAAUAAAUUAUAUAAAUAUAAAAUAUAGUAUUCGAGCUGUUAUCGAGCCGAACACGAGUAAGCUAACCCCAGCUCGUAUUCAGCUCAUUUAUUAAACCAGCCGUAAAAUUCAAUUCGAGUUCGACUCGUUUACUAAACGAGCGAUUCGAUCUCAAGCUCAUUUUGAGCCGAACACGAGCUGGCCCGCGAACGACGAGCUGAAUUGCUACCCUAGUGCCUAUAUAACAAAUUUUUUAAAAAUAUUAUUUCAAUAUAAAAUUACUAUACUAUCUAUGAUUAGAAUUUUUUAGUACCAUGCAUGGUAUGAUAAAAUUGAGAUGUACGUUUUUUUUAAUACUAGAAUCUAAAAAAGUUAUCCAAAUUUUUGGAUAAGACGGAAGUAAUAUUUAUACCUAAAAAUUAGGCCUACAAUUCACAUUUCUCUAAAUAUAAAGAUAAAUAAAGGAGUUCUAGAAGCAGAGGUUGACCCGGGUCAAUGUAUCAUGGAAAGAAAUGGAAAAAAAGAAAGAAAAAGAAAAAGAAAAAGAAAAAGAAAAACGAGUACGAUGAACGCGCACAACGGAAACGUGGAACCGAAGCGCGGUCGCUUUUCCUUGUGUGCUUUGUACAACGACUUAAUCAUCCCAGUUUCCACGCUAAACAACUCUGUUGUGAUUAAUUUAGGCCAAUUUGCAUAAAAAAUUCAUUUAUUUUGGGCUUUUUCAAAAUCAGGUCACCUUUUUUGUUUUUGCAGAUUCGGUACGUUUUUUCAGCAAACUGACCAAAAUAUCCUUAUUACUUUUUCUCUUUCCUCUUUCUCUCUUCUCUUCGUUCUCUCGUUUUUUUUUUUUCGUCGGAAAAAAAACAAGCGAAGGCCAGGCGGAGCAAUUUUUUCUUCUCUUUUUCUUUUUCCUCUUCUUCUUCUUCUUCUUCUUCCUGUAAGAGCACGGGGCGCGCCACGGCGACUUCCGGCCUCGCCAAGCGGCGUCCACCCGGCGGCGUUCUGCAGGGAGGGGUCGGCACCGGCGACCGCGAGCGCUGCGGCGAGGGUGGGGGCGAGCGGGAGGCGGGCAGCGAGGUGGAGCGGGGUGUCGCAGCCGGGGACGUCGCGCCGGUCGAGAGCGGGGGUCACGCGCUCCGCUCGGGCGGCGUCGGCCGCCGUCGCGAUCUCCGACGGCUGCUUCUUCUUUUUCGUAAUGGUGUAAUGGUGCACGCGGGCCGGUGCACGCAGCGGCGGCGGGCGGGCAUGCGGGCGCGUUGCGGCUGCUUCUUUUUCGUCGUAAUGGUGUAAUGGUGCACCAUUACACCAUUAAUGGUGUAAUGUAAUGGUACACCAUUACACCAUUAAUGGUGUAAUGGUGCAAUUACACCAUUAACGGUGCACGCGGCCCGCGGAGCGGAGCCGCUGGCGGAGCUCCGCCGGGCGCAGCCGCCCGAGGGCCUCCUCGAAGCGCGCCAGCAGCGCGGCGUGGCGCCGGCGCUGCCGCGUGGAGCGGACAGCGAAGUCAGCGUGCAUGAGGGGAAGCUGGCGGAGCCCAAGGCGGCAACCGCACCAUCGACAAUUAAUUUUUCUAUUUCUUUCUGAAAUGAAGGGCUAAUUCUGAUACCACGUCGGCCGGCGGCGCCUGCGACAGAAGAGCGAGCUAGAGAAAGCAAGGAGGACAAGGAGGACGAGGAGAUCAGCAAGAGAGCAUUAGAACCGGAGCCUGAGAGGCCAUGUUAAUUAGGUCUCUAUUGAUCUCAAGUAACUAAACAAAUCAAGAGCAAUGCUAUUAAUUAGUUGUAUGAGCUCGUGUCCAACGAUUGCGUAUAUAUAUGUAGCAAUAAUUAACAAAUAGACGAGGGAACAUAUAUAGUGCCUUGGUCAGUUUAAUUAAUUACAACGUAUAGUUGUGUCGGCUAAUAUAUUUAUUAUAAAUGUGAUGAACUUCUAUCAAGUUGAGCCUCUGAAUUUUUUAUUAUAAAUGCUCCGCCAGCUUCCCUAACCUCGUCGGGAUGCGGGACUAACAACAGCGGUUCUGCCCCCUCCAUCCCCCCUCCAUCCCGUCCUCCUGACGAUCCCCCUCCCUGCAUCCCGAUGAGCGGCGGUUCCGCCGCCACUUCGACGCCGCCGGCGCCGUCUUCUCCGCCUCCGCCGCCAAGCUCGAGCUGUCCGCGCGCCUCCUGCGUGAGCGGCACGUGCUGGGACGGGCGGUCGCCGCCGCCGGCCGCAACCUCGGCCACGAGUUCGAGCGGCUGCCUCGGCCACGACUUCGCUGCCCGCUCCGCGCGGCAGCGCCGGCGCCACGCCGCACUGCUGGCGCGCUUCGAGGAGGCCCUCGGCCGGCUGCGCCCGACGAAGCUCCACCCACGGCUCCGCUCCGCGGGCCACAUGCACCGUUAAUGGUGUAAUUACACUAUUACACCAUUAAUGAUAAAAUUACACCAUUAAUGAUAUAAUGGUGUAAUUUCAAUAGUGUAAUUUCAUCAUUAAUGGUGUAAUGGUGCACCAUUACACCAUUAAUGGUAAAAUUACACCAUUAAUGGUGUAACCAUUACACCAUUCACCAUUAAUGGUGUAACCAUUAUAUCAUUAAUGGUGUAAUUACACCAUUACGACGAAGAAGAAGCAGCCGCAGUGCAUCGCGAUGGCGGCCGACGCCGCCCAAGCGGAGCGCCGGGCGGCGCGCGUGACCCCCGCUCUCGACCCGGAGCUGCUGCUGACCCUGGGGAGCAAGGGGAGAAGGAGGGAGGCAUCCGCAUCGCGCGCGCCGUGAGUGUCGUCGUCGCCUCCGUCUACCAGCCGAGCCGUCGUGUGCUGGGGCUCGUUGACCGCCGCCUCAUCCUCUCGCACAGCCGCGCCGCCUACUCCGGCGACCCGGGCCACCUCGCCGACUUCCUCGCCGCAUUCAGGUGCUCCAUCCCCGCCGGCGAGAGCCCCGCCGAGUUCGCCCUCGACGCCGUCCGCUCCUCGAGCCCGCCACGUCGUCGUCGCUCGCCGAGUUCAACACGGCCGCCGCUGAGGGACGUGAUCGCGGCGAGCAUCUCGCAGGGGAAGCUGGUGUCGUCGCGGGGGCGAUGAACGUGCGGCGCGCCGCGGAUCUGCUGCUGACUCGGGGAAGCAAGGGGAGAGGGAGGGAGAUAUCCAUCUCUGACAAGAAGCAGAGGAAGAAGAAGAAGAGAAAAAGAAAAAAAAAAGAAACGAAAUAGUGUAAAAUAUUUUUAAAUGGUGCAAUCUUAGUCUAAAAAGUGUAAAAUUUAUUUCAAAAGAGUGUAAUUUAUAUAUCAAAUAGUAUAAUUUUUAUUAAAACAGUGUAAUUUUUUUAAAAACUGUGUAAUCUUAUUUUAAGAGUGCAAUUUUUAUCAUCUUCUUUCUUCUAUAUUUUUUGAUCUUUUCUGUAGAAAAAAAAUAAUUUUUAUUUUUAUUUUUUAUUAUUCUUAUUUUUUUUCUAUAAUUUCUUUUUGUCACCAUUUCUUCCUUGCUUUCUAUCGCAACCACCGCGACGUCGUCGGAGGCGAUCUCGUCGCCUGCCACCUCCGACGACGUCUCGGCGUUCCAACACGCGGUGGAGGAGAAGCCGUUUGGCGAGGCCGGAAGUCGCCGUGGCGCGCCCCGUGCUCUUACAGGAAGAAGAAGAAAAAGAAGAAGAAGAGGGAAAAAAAAAAGGUGCUCCAGUAGGAGGAAGAAGAAGAAGAAAAAGAAAAAAAGAAGAAAAAAUUGCUCCGUCUGAUCUUCGCUUUUUUCUUUUUCCGGCGGAAAAAAAAAAGAACGAGAGAACGAAGAGGAGAGAGAAAGAGGAAAGAGAAAAAGUAAUAAGGGUAUUUUGGUCAGUUUGCUGAAAAAGCAGACCGAAUUUGUAAAAAUAAAAAAGGUGGCCGGUUUUGCAAAAGUCCAAAAUAAAUGAAUUUUUUAUGCAAAUUGGCCAUUAAUUUAGCCCACACUAGUAAAUGUUUUGAAGCAAAUUUUUUUUAAAAAAACUGUUAUAUGAAAGCUUAAGUUUUUAUAGAUCACCGGUUAAUUAAUUUUAAAUUAGUCCAAUGGCGCUUGUUAGUCGCAGCUAGCAUAUAUAGUUGUUUGUGCAGCAUGCAAGUUGCGCCUAACAUAUGAGUUGGAUUUAUAUCUUGUAUUAGUUGCAGUACCACUGUAUUAGGUUCAUGUCACGUAUUAAUAGUACCUAGCAUAUGUAGGAAGAGUAACAGUAUAGAAUCUUUGAUUUUUUAUGUUGUUACAACAAAAUUGAAAAAAAAAUCUGUUUUGUCGGACGUGAAAAUAAAAGCAUAGAAUAGAGAAAGAGAGAAAAAAAUAAAUAUACAAAUAUUUACCUGGUUCAGACACACACAAGCCUAUUUUUAACAGAGAAAAUUUUUAUUUUAACCAAAGUAGAGUAUAAAAGAUGCCUCUCUCAUAAAAAACCUAGCUUAAUUCCAAAAUACAUCUAUAUAUACUUCCUUUUUUUUCUGCCACAUCAAAUUAAUAAAUAAAAAGUAUAUUUAUAUUAAUGAUUAAAAUCCAAUAACAUUGGUAAUAAUAUCAAUAAGAUUAGAUCUCUCAAAAAACAAAAAAAUCAAUAAGAUUAGGUAUAAUCUUAACAUAACUUAAUAAGUUGACAGAGAAAGAAUGUGGUUAAUUAGGAAAUUUUACGGUUUUAGAAUUCAAAAUAUAUCUAACAUAUAUUAUGUGGAGAGUAUUUUCACCAGUUACUUUGAGUUUUGGGAAUGUUUUUAGCCUUUUAGGCCCGUUUGGAUACUCCAAAAAAUAUAGCAUAGUUAAACUAUACUACGGCGGUAGGAAAAAUAUCCUAUGAAGCGUUUGGGAGGAAAAAAAGUAACGAAAUUUUUGGAGUACUAGAUUAAACUAUACUCCAAAAAAUAGAGGUAAAAGUAUAAUCCAAUCUAACAAAGAAAAAAAAUUCCACCAUUCUUGAGCUCCUUAUUCAAAAAAAUGCAUCAAGUUCUAACUUUUAAAUUUCAACAUAAAAUUUUAAAUUUCAACAUAGAUUUUAAAUUUCAAAUAGAUUUAAAAUUUAAAAUUUAAAAUUUGAAAUUUGAAAUAUCAAAUUUGAAAUUUAAAUUAAAAAUUUAAAUUUUAAAUUUUAAAUUUCAAACUUUAAAUUUCAAAUUUCAAAUUUCAAUUUCAAAUUUAAAUUUCAAAUUUUAAAUUUCAAAUUCAAAUUUUAAAUUUUAAUUUAAAUUUAAAUCAAAUUUCAAAUUUCAAAUUUAAAUUUCAAAUUUCAAAUUUCAAAUUUCAAAUUUAAAUUUCAAAUAUAAUUAUAAAUUUCAAAUUAUAAAUUCAAAUUUAAAUUUCAAAUUUCAAAUUUCAAAUUCAAAUUUCAAAUUUAAAUUUUAAAUUUCAAAUUUCAAAUUUCAAAUAUAAAUUUGAAAUUUCAAAUUUAAACUUUAAAUUUUAAAUAUUUUUUUUAAAUUUAAAAUUUAAAAUUCUAAAUUUUAAAUUUCAAAUUUUAAUUUUAAAUUUUUAUUUUAAAUAAAAUUUCAAAUAUAAAUUUUAAAAUUUAAAUUUUAAAUUUUAAAUUUAAAAUUUUAAAUUUCAAAUCUCAAGUCUCACAGUUCAAAUUUCAAAUUUUAAACUUUAAAUUGUAAAUUUAUUUUUUUAAACUUUAAAUUUUAAAUUUAUUUUUUAAAUUUAAAAUUCUAAAUUUCAAAUUUCAAAUUUCAAAUUUUAAAUUUUAAAUUUUUUUUUAAAAUUUUAAAUUUAAAAAUUUAAAAAUUUAAAAAUUAAAUUUAGAUUUUUAAAUUUUAAAUUUGAAAAUUGAAAAUUUAAAAUUUAAAAUUCAAAAUUCAAAAUUUCACAUUUCACAUAUCAAAUUUUAAAUUUUAAAUUUUUUUUGAAAUUUUAAAUUUUAACUUUUAAUCUUAAAAUUUAGAAAAAUCCUGUUAAAUUUACAAUGCGUAUCCAAACAGUUUAAAAAUUGAAUCUGUGAAAUUUUUUAGAGUUGCAGGAUUCUCUAUUUUAUCUAGACCGAAACCACAGUUUAUAAAUUCCGUGGAGAUAUUUUACUGUGUAUCCAAACAGGUCCUUAAUAUAUAGUAAACAACUGUUGAAACUCACAAUCUCAUUUUUACUUUCUACUUUGAUAUAUGAUCCAAAAUUUUCUCUUUACUAUGUGCUCUAUGACAGCUACUGCUGAAAGUGAAAAUAGAAGCAAGAUUAAAUAAGGGAAAACUUCAAAAACCCCCCUUGUGGUUUCAUUUUUUUUCAUUUUAGUACCCUGUGGUUUAAAAUGUAUCAAGUUAGUACCAUGUGGUUUCUCACUUUAUCACUUUAGUACUCUGUGGUUUAAAGUGUAUCUAGUCAGUACCGUGUGGUUUUGCACUUUAUCACUUUAGUACUCUGUGGUUUUAAUUUUGUAUCAAGUUAGUAUCCUAUAGUUUUUUAAACUAUAGAAUACUAAAGUGAUAAAGUGUGAAAUCACAGGCUACUAAAGUGAUAAAGUGCAAAACCACAGGGUACUAACUUGAUACACUUUAAACCACAGGGUACUAAAAUGAUAAAGUGAGAAACCACAGGGUACUAACUUGAUACACUUUAAACCAUAGGGUACUAAAAUGAUAAAGUGAGAAACCACAUGGUACUAACUUGAUACACUUUAAACCACAGGGUAUUAAAAUAAAAAAGUGUGAAACCACAGAAGGGAUUUUUGAAGUUUGCCCUUUAAUAAUCCUUAAGAGUAAAUUUGUUGAAUUGUUGUAGAAAAGUAUUGGUGAGAAUCUAUAGAAUAUAUUAUUUGACGAUUGGAUCACCCCAAAAAAAUACGUUGUGAGAGAGCCAUGUUGCCAAUUAAGCCAUAAACCAACGGAAGUUUGCCACGUUUCUAAUAAAAAUUUUGGAUGCAUCCAUUGCUUAAGUCGACUUUAAAAUUUACAUCAAAGAUAAAAUUUUUAAUACAAUAAAUUAUUUAAAUAUUUUAUGUUAUAUAUAUAGGGUUAAUUUGAUACUAAUAUAUGUGGAGGUGAUUUAUGUUUGUAUUAGUGGAGGGAAAAGGAUUAUAACGUUUUAGUGAUCUCGUACUAUUUGGAUUAUCUUUUAGAGAUGGAGUAAUGCUUCAUGAACCUUCCUAAGAUAGUUUGUUAUAAUAUUGUUAAUGAGUUAAAUUUUUCGUACUAGUUGGGAUUGCUAUGUUAUAUCUAGGUAAUUAAAUCUGCCCAAUUAAUUUGUUAUUAUGUAUAGAAAUAAAUAAAAGACUAAAUUAUAGAAAAAAUACUCGUUUUUUUACUUCCUCUCCGUAACUUUCAAAAAACCUAUGUUUUACUCCCUCAACAUUUCAAAUUGUUGCAUUUAGCCCCCCAUUUGUCAUGAUUCUAUCACCGUUCUAUCCAUUUCUUUUCAUUUAUAUUGAAAAUAUUCUUUAAAUGACAAAAUAUAUUAAAAUUUUAUUUUUUUCUUAUAGAAGAAAUAAUUUACGUUUUGAAAAUCGAAAAGUGAAAGCAAAAAAAUGAUAUUUAUAAAAGAAUUUCUGUAAUUUAGCCUAAAUAAAAUAAAUUUCUUUUUUUAUUUGAAAGAUAGGUAGCAUGCUAUCCGCUUCAUUUAUUUCAUUUAGAAAUAAACUUAAGAUGAGUUUGUAUCCUUGUAAAAUCUCUCCGAAAAAAAAAUUUUCGAUUGAAAAUUUUUUUUUCCCUUGUUUGGUUAUCUGUAAAAUUUUUUUUGAAAAAGUUAUUUUACAAAUUUCUCGGAAAAAAUCGAGUUUUCGUUUUUGGCCUUCUGCCUGCGGAAAAUGAAAAGCAAGAUGGAAAUGGUGCGGCAUUUGGCGUGGAGGGGAGCAGCGGAAUAGCGCGGUCCACGAGGCCACUUCGGCCUUGUGCACCGUGUGAGAGGGAGGUGGACCUCCCUCUCAUUAUAUAUAUAUAUAUAUAUAUAUAUAUAUAUAUAUAUAUAUAUAUAUAUAUAUAUAUAUAUUAUAUAUAUAUAUAUUUAUUUAUAUAUANNNNNNNNNNNNNNNAUAGGUGGCAACGGAGCCCGUUUGCUAUCGAUAGUAUUCUAGCUCAACUCUAUAUAUAUAUAUAUAUAUAUAUAUAUAUAUAUAUUAUAAUAAUAAUAUAUAUAAUAUAUUAAUUAUUAUAUAAUAAUAAUAUAUAUAAUAAAAAAUAUAUUAAACACGUUUUCAUCUAUUUUUCUUUUCUUUUUAACCAAAUAAUCAUUAUGAAAAUUUUUUUUUUUUUCUACAAACCAAACGCUAAACUACGAAAUUUUUUCAAUUUUACGUCAAACCAAACAGCCUCUUAGUUGAAAAUAUGAAUCAACUAAGAUUCGAACUUGAAAUCUUCGAAUACCAAUCACUAAAUUCUUUGUUACUUGCUCUCGGAACUGUCAAAAAAAUAAAUUUCUUAUGUAUUAUGUUGAUGCACCUUACGCACUCUACUUACAAUUCUAAACAAAACCUAAAGUGGUGCGUACUGAGGAAGUAUUAUUUGGGACAAUGAUUAAAUAACACUUUAUUCGGUAGCUGAGCCGAAAUGCUCGACAUAAGCAACCGAGCUUUGGAGAUUCUACUGACCAAAAUGCAGCAUUAGUAAUAUUGUUAUUUUCUUUUCUAAAAAUGAUAGAAUGCUAAAGAAAAAAAUAAUAAAGAUAAAUGCAAGAUUUUUGAAGACCUAUUCCAAUUAAUUAGUGAAUUUCACAUCAAUCAGUGAGCGGAAGAAUCAAUGUAAAUAUUCUUUUGCUGCCCAAGGUGGCGAAAUACCAGCUUAUUACAUGAUUAAAUACUUACUGACAGGGCUAUAUUUUUUUAUUCUUAUGAAAUACAGGACCUUCAACUGAAACAAUCUCACUCAUUAAUUAAAAUCACAGCUGAUCGCACUGCGCAGGAGCAAAAGAUAACUUCUGAUCGUCCAGAUCGUAGACUAUGUGCAUAUUCUGCUGCUGAAAAUUACCAAUUAUGGAGAUUUCGCUGCCGGAAUCGAACAUCGCCAAGCACAUUAAACCCACGCUGGAAUCCUGGAGCAUGUAGUUGUCGCGCGGCAGAUCCAUAUCUGCGCCUUCGAGGUGGAAUAUCAGCUUCGGCACGUCCACCUUUGCUGAUGGAGACGACGGCAGCGAGAAGCAAAGGUCGAAGCCCUCCGCGGUGCCGUUAGCCACGGGCAGCUUCACCUGCGACAAGAAGGCGCUCCUCACGAGCUUGUAAGCAACCGUGGUUAGCUGCGUGAAGGACGUUCCGGAGUCUAUGAACACUCCGCCAGUCCCGUUUUGCUGCAGGGCAAAUGCCGACCUCGGUAUCGGGAGACGGAUCGUGCCGACCGUUAUACCGUCGAGAGAGAGGUAAUAGUAGGUUGGCUGUGAAGUAUUCGUAACGAACGGAGUCGACUGGAUGUUAGUAGAGCUGCCGUUUAGAUUGGCAGCUGAUCCUAACAUGAGUGCGCUGCUCUUCGAAUCGUCGUCGUCGUAGGAAAUGAAGCAGUAUCCGAACUUUCUGACUCCUAACUGAGAGAUGAGAGACAAGGGCCCACGACCGAAGCCUGCGAUCCCAUUGAAGUUGCCCUGGUUUUGAAACCCGCAGCCGAAUCCGAGGUUCGGGACCGUGACGUUGUUAGUGGACCCAAAGGUGAAGGCCUCGCUGGCGAGAGUGCCGACGGUAAAUGAGUUGUCAAGGUAAUCGUAAAGAUAGAGGCAUUGCGCGUGGCAGGCGGAUUGAGGAAGAGCCUGGCAGAGCUUGCUGGAGCAGGGAAGCGGCGAGUAAGUGGCUGACUGUGAAGGAUCGUACAAAGGGAAGCUCUGGUUGGUGCACGAGAGGCAGGGCUGGCACUGAGUCCAGAUGAGAUCGCUGCCGGUGUCAAGCAUGAGCAGGAGAGGCUGUGCCGGCGUGCCAAUGGAAACUCCGAUGGUGUACUCAUAGGGAUUUGGCGAGACAGGCACGUCAGUUGCGGAGAUCGAAUUGGCAGAACCCCCCGCGGCCUUGGACACGAGCAUCGCACUCCGGGCCCUGCUUCGCAGCGCCAUGCGCUGCAGGAGCUCGAAUUUGGUGAAAUUCCGGCCCGCGUCGACAUGGGUCAGGUCCACGCGGAGACCGUCGAAGGCAGAGAUGGCCGGAGGGACUAGCGAGGCGAGGAGGAGGAGCACCAGAAUUGGCAGCAUAUUUUCGAAAGGUUUAACGGCAUACAUGUUGUGGUCUGAGAUACAGAGACUUUAUGUUUUGGGGAGAAAAUAUUUGUUAGAAUGUAUGUUUAUAUAGGGGGAUUUAGCAAGAAUGAGUCACUGUGAUAGCACAUAUUGUUAAAUUAUUUACAGUGUUUACCUUUUCUCGGUAUAAUAGAAGGACUCAGUUAACGCCCUCGUGUAUAUAUUUCAAACAAUGCCCUUUCAAUAUCUUGACAUGGUUUCUUGACAAGGUUCCCUUUCAAACAAUGCCCUUUCAAACAAUGCCCUUUCAAGCGAGGAACCUACGUUUUGUGUGGUUUAUCUUUGAAUGGACCUCAGGACUUAAAAUCAACAGAAAAAAAGUCCGAACUUUUCUAUAUGGGGAGGAAUGUGCAGAAGGGAGAAAUAUUAGCGGAAAUCUUAGGAUGUAAAUUGGGCUCAUUUCCGACAAGGUAUCUUGGGCUGCCGUUAUCGAACAGACGACUAUGCAGAUCGGAUUGGUGGCCAAUCAUCAAUAGAGUCGAACGAAGGAUAGAAGGGUGGCAAGCUAAACUUCUUUCGACCGGCGGCAGGCUUGUACUGGUUAACUCGGUACUCUCGAACCUGCCGCUCUACUUCUUCUUUAUCUUCAGAGCACCUAAAUGGGUAAUUAAACGAAUCGAAGCUCUGCGGAGGGCAUUUUUUUGGAAAGGAAGAAGGGAAGUAACUGGAGGCCAUUGCUUGGUUCGAUGGAAAACGGUAUGUAGGAACAAAAGAGAUGGAGGGUUAGGGGUGAAAGACCUAGAGACUAUGAAUUUAGCGCUACUGGCUAAGUGGUGGCGGAGGUUUUUAUCGGAUAAGACAACGUUAUGGAGAUCUUUCUUACGAGGAGGAUCUUCCUUAGGGAAGGGGCAACUUUUAGACCAUACUCACAAUGGUGGCAAAGCGUCCUGUCAACCUGCGACAUUGUCCGGUGCGGGGUUUCCUAUAUGAUUGGUGACGGUAGUUCAGUGAGCUUUUGGAGGGACCGAUGGUGUGCACAACUCCCAUUGCAAUCGAUGUUCCCUCAUAUCUUUAACACUGUAGUCACGAAGAACUACCGAGUGCGGGAUUGUUCAGGCAUCUAUGGUUGGCGCUGGUGGAGUAUAUUGCACAGGUUUACACCAAGCUCUCCCGCAAAUGAGGAAUCAGUUCAGGGGCUUAAGGAACUACUAUGCACCAUGAGUUUAGUAGAUAACAGAGACGAAGUAAGAUGGAGAUGGAGUCAAUCAGAAGUAUUCACAGUUAAAUCAUUGUAUAAAUUCUUGCAGGAGGGGGGAAGGGGGUGAUAGAGACGAACUUGGCGCCACUUUGGAGGACCAAAAUUUCGCUUAAAAUUAAAAUUUUCAGCUGGCUGGUGGUGAUGCGGAGGUGUUAACGAAGGAUAAUCUCUCGAAAAGGGGAUGGUCGGGAGAGCACACUUGUGCCCUCUGUUUGGAUGAACCAGAGAAUAUUGAUCACUUUAGUACCAUGUGAUUUCACACUUUAUCGCUAGAAUACUAAAGUGAUAAAGUAUUAUAGCUUGCUGGUGGGUGGUUUGGGAGACUAGGAAUGGAGUCAUUUUUGCGAAGGCCCAGGCGGAUCCGAUCCGUGGCACUCAUAAGAUCAAACACCUGAUAGCUCAAUGGGGUAGUGCUGAUCCGUAGAUUUGUAGUUAGAUUUUGUAGCCUGUAUAGAGGUAUCAGUUGUACUUUGCACACAACUUCUGUUUCCCUGUUUUCCUUUUUUUUUUUGUUUUUUUUCUCCAUCAUCCUAGAGGCCUUGAUGCCUCACCCAUGUUGCUUAAUUCACCUACUGUAUGAAUGAAGCGGGUAGCAUGUUACAUUUUUCUCACAAAAAAAAAAAACAUAAAAGAAUUGUCUAACUUUUUUGGAUAGAAUAGAUAUAAUAUUUCCACCUAAAAUUAAGGGUAUACUUUGCAUUUCUUUAAAUAUGAUGAUAAUGGAGUUCUAGAAGCAGAGGUUGACCCAGUGUAAUUGUAUUAUAUAUGGAAACAAAAAAUUGAAAAAAAAAAAAGAGUAGGAUGAACGAGCUUAAUUGGACCUUGUCUGCUUGUACAACGACUUAAUCAGCCCAGUUUCCAUACUAAACAACUCAGCUGUAAUUUAUUUAGUAAAAGUUUUGUAGUUAAAUAUAAAAAUAAGGUCAUCUUAAAACUUACUUAAGUUUUUAUAAAUUAUUGGUUAAUUAAUUGUAAAUUGACUUAAUGGCACGUGUUUGUCGCAGCUAGCGUGUACAGUUGUUUGUACAGCACGGUAGUUGUGCCUAAUAUGUGGAGUUGGAUUUACAUCUCGUAUUAGUCAGAGUAUCAUUGUAUUAGAUUCAUGUCAAGUAAUAGUAGCACCUAGCACGCAUGGGAAGAGUGUUAGUAUAGAAUGCUUAAUUUUUUUAUAUUGUUAUAACAAAAAUAAAAAAGAUUAAAUUUGUUGGGUGUGAAAAUAGAAACAGAGUAUUGAGGAAGAGAAAACAAAAUAAAGUAUAACAAAUAUUACGUGGUUCGGUUACUGACUUACGUCCAAGGUCUAGGUUAGAGGAGAAAUUUUUAUUAUAAUCAAAGCAGAAUAUAAAAAAAAUACUCUGUCACACGAGAAUCCUAGCCUUCAAAAUAUACAUAUACUCUCUCUUAUCAACCACACCAAAUUAAUAAAAUAAAAUAUAUAUUUAUAUUAAUAAUUAAAAUUUCAUAAAACUAAAAAUAAUUUUAAUAAGAUUAGAUAUAAUCUUAACGGAUUGACUAGAAAAGAAUAGGAUUAGAAUAUCUUAGGACGCGUUUGGUUCGAAGUCAGAAUCGAAAUCGAAAUGACUCAUUACCUAAUUCUAUUUGAUUCGUUAUCUGAAUCGGAAUAAGAAUAAAUCAUUCCCAUUGUCGGUGUUUGAUUUAGAUAGAUAUAAAAAAUGUAAUCAAAUUAAUAUAUUAACUUUAUCUUUAUAGAGUCCGGCUACUAUACUCUUAUGAGUACGAUUGUUCUCGUACUCAUUGUUUUCGGUGAUAGAGCUUCCGAAUCAACGAUCCACACUGCUAAACGUUAUCUAGAGCAUUUAAAACGUCUAGAAAUCAAAUUUUAUAAUUUUUCGACAUCAUUUACCUUACGAUCAAAAAAUUAUGAUUUCAAAAUAUUACGAAAUUUAUUAUGAUUUCAAAAAAUUACGAAAUUUAUUUUCUAGACGAUGAACUUUAUUAUGAUUUCAAAAAAUUAUGAAAUUUAUUUUCUAGAAAUUCAAAUACUCUAAAUCAUAUUUAACGAAGUAGAUCGUCAAUUCGGAAGCUCCAUCAUUGAAAACAACGUAUGAGUAUGAAAUGCUCUAUACUUAUAAGAGUAUAGUAGCCCUAGUCAUCUUUAUAAUUUAUUAAUUUAAAUUGAAAUUGAAAAUUAAAUAUUAAAAAUUUACAUCAAAAUUUUGAAAUAAUGUCAAAAUUUUAAAUCUAUUUUUUUAAAAAAAAUUAAAUUUUGAAGUUGAGUGGAUAAUUCAAAAUAUAAAACUAAAUUUUGAUUUAUUCAAAUUCAAACUUAAAUUAAAAUUUUAAUUUUAAUUUGAAUCCAUAAAUUUAAUUUAAGUUUUAAAUAAAAUUUGAAUAAUUAAAAAAAUAAAAUACUUGAUUAAAUUUUAAUUUUUAAUUUAAAUUCAAAUUAAAAUUUAAUAUUAUAAAUUUAAUUUCUAAAUUCAAACUCAUAUUUUAGUUAAAAAAAUUAAAAAAAUAAAUUUAAUCCUAAUAAAUAUCUAUUCCGUUUAGAUUCAACUUCUAAUUCGGCUUCUAGGCCGGAUUGAAAAUAGAGGUGAUUGGACGAUUCCCAUUCCACUCGAAAAUUUGAAUCGGAAUGGAACUCCCGCAUACCAAACACUCACAAACAGAUUCAUUCAUUCCAAUUCCGAUUCCAUGAUGAAAAAGAAGCGAACCAAAAAUGAUCUUACAGUUUUACAAUCCGAGAUAUAUCUAACAUAUGUAAUGCGGAGAGCAUUUUCAUCAAUUACUUUGAGUUUUGGGAUUGUUUUGAGCCUUUUAAUAACAAACAAUUGUUGACACUCAUCGACCGUCUCCGGUGCAAGUGGCAAAGUGCUUGAUGGUUUAAAUAGAUAGAAAUUUUCAAAUUUUACUUUUUAUAAGACUAAUUUGUACUAAUAGACAAUAAAAUAAGCUAAAUUAAUUUUAAGCCGUUGAGUUUUUGUAUGAUUUAAUAAAAAAAAAAUCCGGUUGGUUUGAGUAAAAUCAGAUCGAUUUGCCGGCCCAAUGGUUGAACCGUCAGUAUGAGCAGUUUAAGGUAGUCUUUUGAUCGAUUCAUCUGGUUUAAAAAAUCAAAUCACACUACUUUAUAGACUGGAUCGACGGAACAGGUCGACAACCCAGUUUUUAAAUCAUUGAAAAAUUCAACCGCAGGCACAAGAAAUGUAAUCCAUUAGACCAAGAAAAUUCGAUAUUAGAAACUUUCAGUACACUCGGUCAUGCAGACUCAGUUUUCAUGCUAAAGCCCCGCCUAUAUAAACAUGCCUCCAAAACAAUUAUUGGCUCCACAACUACACCUCUCUGUAUCUCAGACCACAACAUGUAUGCCGUUAAACCUUUCGAAAAUAUGCUGCCAAUUCUGGUGCUCCUCCUCGCCUCGCUAGUCCCUCCGGCCAUCUCUGCCUUCGACGGUCUCCGCGUGGACCUGACCCAUGUCGACGCGGGCCGGAAUUUCACCAAAUUCGAGCUCCUGCAGCGCAUGGCGCUGCGAAGCAGAGCCCGGAGUGCGAUGCUCGUGUCCAAGGCCGCGGGGGGUUCUGCCAAUUCGAUCUCCGCAACUGACGUGCCUGUCUCGCCAAAUCCCUAUGAGUACACUAUCGGAGUUUCCAUUGGCACGCCGGCACAGCCUCUCCUGCUCAUGCUUGACACCGGCAGCGAUCUCAUCUGGACUCAGUGCCAGCCCUGCCUCUCGUGCACCAACCAGAGCUUCCCUUUGUACGAUCCUUCACAGUCAGCCACUUACUCGCCGCUUCCCUGCUCCAGCAAGCUCUGCCAGGCUCUUCCUCAAUCCGCCUGCCACGCGCAAUGCCUCUAUCUUUACGAGUACCUUGACAACUCAUUUACCGUCGGCACUCUCGCCAGCGAGGCCUUCACCUUUGGGUCCACUAACAACGUCACGGUCCCGAACCUCGGAUUCGGCUGCGGGUUUCAAAACCAGGGCAACUUCAAUGGGAUCGCAGGCUUCGGUCGUGGGCCCUUGUCUCUCAUCUCUCAGUUAGGAGUCGGAAAGUUCGGAUACUGCUUCAUUUCCUACGACGACGACGAUUCGAAGAGCAGCGCACUCAUGUUAGGAUCAGCUGCCAGUCUAAACGGCAGCUCUACUAACAUCCAGUCGACUCCGUUCGUUACGAAUACUUCACAGCCAACCUACUAUUACCUCUCUCUCGACGGUAUAACGGUCGGCACGAUCCGUCUCCCGAUACCGAGGUCGGCAUUUGCCCUGCAGCAAAACGGGACUGGCGGAGUGUUCAUAGACUCCGGAACGUCCUUCACGCAGCUAACCACGGUUGCUUACAAGCUCGUGAGGAGCGCCUUCUUGUCGCAGGUGAAGCUGCCCGUGGCUAACGGCACCGCGGAGGGCUUCGACCUUUGCUUCUCGCUGCCGUCGUCUCCAUCAGCAAAGGUGGACGUGCCGAAGCUGAUAUUCCACCUCGAAGGCGCAGAUAUGGAUCUGCCGCGCGACAACUACAUGCUCCAGGAUUCUACCAUGGGUUUAAUGUGCUUGGCGAUGUUCGAUUCCGGCAGCGAAAUCUCCAUAAUUGGUAAUUUUCAGCAGCAGAAUAUGCACAUAGUCUACGAUCUGGACGAUCAGAAGUUAUCUUUUGCUCCUGCGCAGUGCGAUCAGCUGUGAUUUUAAGUGAGAUUGUUUCAAUUGAAGGUCCUGUAUUCCAUAAGAAUCAAAAUAUAUAACCCUGUUAAUUACUUAAUCUUGUGAUAAGUUGGUGUUUCGCCACCUCAGGUAAUAAAAGAAUUACAUCCAUUCCUCCACUAAGUAAUUGAUGUGAAAUUCACUAAUUGGAAUAGGUCAUCAAAAAUCCUGCAUUUAUUUUUAUUAUUUUUCCUUUAGCAUUUAAUCAUUUUUCCAAAAAAAAAAAAAAAACAAUAACAGUAAUGCUCCAUUUUGGUUGGUAGAAGAUCCAAAGCUCGAUUGCUUACGUCGAGCAUUUGGUUCAGCUAUAGAGUAUAGUGCUAUUUUAUCAAAUUAUAGUCCCAAGUAAUAUGUUCAGAAUAUAAACCAUUUUAGUUUUUUAUUUAGAAUUUAUAAUCUUACUAAUUGAGAAUCCAUACGAGCCCACUCUCCAUUGCACGGGCCGUGGGACCCACUCCUCUCUCUCUCUCUCUUUCUUUUUUUUCUUUUUUUUUUCCCUUAUUUUUCUUUUCUUCCAAACCUUUCUUAUUUUGGGGUUGUGGGACGGUUUACAUUGUUAUUAAGAAUUAAUUGCACCAUUGAUCUCCAACUUUUGUACUAUUAUUAUUGGUUCCAAAUAUGUUUUUGUAAUUAAAUUUUCAAUCUGUUAAUUCCAUUGCGAUUACAUCCCAGCCGUUAAAAGAGAUGUUAAUUAAACAAAAUUGCCAUGUUACUUAACUUUCUUUUGCAUGUCAAUUUUGGUCUAUAAAUUUUACAUAUUUUUUACUGUAGAAAUAAAAAUUUACAUUUUAAAUUUUAAAUUCAAAAUUAAUAAUAAAAUUAAAAUUUUAAACCAAUCAGAAAUUAGAAUUUUAAAUUUAAAUUUAAAGUUUGAAUUUAAAUUGAAAUAUGAAUUUUAAAUUGAAUCUAACUUUUGAUUUCAAACUUUAAUUUUUUAUUUUGAUUUUAGUAUUUAAAUUUACAUUUAAAUUUUAAUUUUAAUUUAAAAUUUAAAUAUGUAAUUAGAAUUUAAAUUUAUAUUUAGAAAAAUUAGAACAACUAUUUUUGAGCUAUCAAGUUGAUUUUUUAUUACUUUUAAUCAUUUCAGAUACUUUGCUCCAUAAGAGGAGAUACAAGAUAAUGGGCCAUUAGAGAGCUGCAUCUGAUACAUUUUCUUUAUACUUUUAAUAAGAAUUAUGAUAAGAUCUUUUGCAAUGUAAUUAUGUUUUCUAUAUUAAAAUAUUCAUUCAUAAAAAUAAUAUUCAAAUAUGAAUUAAGACUUUUGAAAUUGUGACUAUUGACUUGCUUGAUUGAUAAUUUGAAUGGUUCUUUAUAUUUUUGAAAUUAACAAAUUUGUAUCUUGAAAUGAGCGAAUUUAAUUUUUGCAUUUCUGUUUCUUCAAUGAUUUUUUUAUAUUGGUUUUUUUAUCUCCAGUUAAGUAAUAUUUUUUAGUUCAUAUGAGUGAUAUUUGCUAAUUCGCAUGCUAUUAUUUUUAAUCUCGAGCUAGAGAAUUUAUUUUUCCUAAUAUAUAAUAUUAAAAUAUUUAUUUUGGUAGUUGAACCUUUUUGCAAUAUAAAAAAUAUCUAUUUUGAUUUUUAAAUACCCUUUGAUUUGUUUUAUUUUUGGUGCUUCUUGUAAUUAUCUAUUGAUUUCUUCAGUAAUCUGAAAUUCAGAAAUCAAGUACUUUAGUUAACAAGAGUUUCCCUUCAUUAUCAUCGACGACAAUGGAGACGCUUCCACCAAGACUAUCAAAGAUAGUGCUUUCACUCCAAUUAAUUUUAUAAUAUUUUUUAUUUAUAAAUUCUAUGUUGAUGAUAAUAGAAAAUUAUUAUUCAUUUUUUUAAUAUUACAAUGAGCUUUUCUUUUAUUUUAACUGAUUUAUUCAUUUUAAUUAUUUGGUUUAGAUAUUUUUGAAAAGAAAUAUAUUUAAAUUUUUUUUGAAUUUUUAAUUAUUCAAUACUGAGAUAAAUAAUAUUUGAAUAUAUAUAUAUAUAUAUAUAUAUAUAGUAUAUUAGUAGUAGUAUAUAUAUAUAUAUAUAUAUAUAUAUACUACUUAUAAAAACGUGAGUUUUAAAUUUUUUCUCUUUCCAAAAAUGCCCCUAUCUUUUCUACUAAUAUUUUCAUGUCCAGUAAUUUUCAACUAUUCGUUUCAAAUAAUUUUUCAAAUAAUAAUUUAUUCUCAAAUAUAAAUAUUAAGUUUUUACCAUUGGAUCUCAUCCAACGAUUAUAAAUAAAAGUAGCUUUUCUUGAUAAAAAUACCCUCAAUAUCCGUUAUCUCCUAUCUACGCGUUUACAAAUAUCUACGCAUUUUCUCAAACAUAAUUUCCGCCGUAACUUAAAAUAUCCGUUAUAUCCUAUCCACAGCGUUUCUUAAAUAUUUUUGUUUCUCACACGUAAUAGCACCAAUCACAUAAUAAAUAAAAUUAAAUUUAUUCUAUCUACACAUUUUCUCAAACGCUUCAUAAAGUAAAAUAUUCAUUAUCUCCUAUUUAUGUGUUUCUCAAAUAUUAUAUUUCUCACACAUAAUGCGCCAAUCACGUAGAAUAUUACUAGAAAGAUUUAAUACCCACCUUACAGUCACGUAGAAUAUUAUUAGAAAGAUUUAAUACCCACCUAAGCAAAACUAAAUUGUUAAUUAAAUAUAAUUUUACAUUUUUAAAUUUUUUUAGUAAAAUAUUCAAAAGUAAUACUCGCUAAAAUAUUUUACGUGUUUUUCAAAUAUAGAGCAUAUCUUAAUGCACUCGCACAUAAUAUCUAUAUUAUCUAAUCUUUAUCUCAUCAUAAUAUUUAUUCAUACACAGAAUAUAUUUUUUUGAGACAUAUAUUUUCUUAGUAAUAUCUUUUUAAUUUUCAACUAUAUUUUUCUCAAAUAUUUUUUUUAGUAAUAUCCUUUCUCAUAUGUCCCCAUCGUUAGCACCAGUAUAUCAUAGCACAUCGUCAUCAUCGAUACCGGCACAUUGUCACUUUCACCACCUUCGUCAUAGUUAGAGAGGUAUUUUGAUCCUACCUGAAAAUUUUUUAUUUUUUUAAUGUGCAUUUAUACUAUUUCAGUAUAUUUUUUUGAUAUUUUCUUAUUUUUACGUAUACUACGUUCAUCAAAUAUAAAGCAUUUAUUUUUUUAAUAAUAUCAUUUUUCAUUUUUAUCUAUAUUUUCUUAUAUAUUCUCAAAUAUUUUUUUUAGUAAAUCCUUUUUUAUUUGUCACUGUUGCCGGCACCAGCACAUGGUCAUCGUCCUCCUCAUCGUCAUCGUCAUCACCGAUGCCGGCACAUUGUCGCCUUCAUCACCUUCGUCACAGGUGUUUUGAUCCCAGCUAAAUUUUUAAUAUGCUUUUAUACUGUUAUAGCAGCUUUUUAGUAUUUUCUUAUUUUUAUCUAUACGUUUCUCAAAUAUAAAGUAUAUAUUUUUUUAGUAAUAUCUUUAUAAAGUAUAUUUUUGUAGUACCCCUGAAAUUCAGCAUUUCAGGCUUGUCGACAGCUCUGGAGAGUGUCGGGACAAGUCCGAGUCCUGUUGGUGCGAAAUAGACGCAAACCGGACUCAAUACGACGCAAGAGCAGGAAGUUAGUAUUGGAAUCUGCAAAUUGCAGAUUUUCUGCAUUCUGUACCGGUACAAAAGAGUGUACCGGUACCUCUAUAUAAUUUUUCUGCGCAACUGCUCUCAGGUUUACCAUCUCUGUUGCAUGUACCGGUACAACAUCGAUGUUGUACCGGUACACCGGGGUAGGUAAAGGGUGUUUUGGUAAUUUCUUACCUCGUGGACUUCACCCUUAUCCCUUCCUUCUAUAUAAUGUUAGAGAGGCAGAGAGAGCAUUUCGGCUGCUGCUCCUCUCUCUCUCUAGGGUGGAUCCGUAUGGUUGAGGGAGGCUUCGGGUGGAGUUUGGAUCGACGCCGACGUUGCGCCGGGGAGCUGUUCGAGCACACGAGUGUCGUAGUUGCUGCGUUGGGAGGCCGGGCGAGCGUGUGAUUUCGCUGUUUCGACUUCGCGCCGGAUUUGGAGUAGCUUUCGAGGUGGGUUAAAGUGAUGUUACCGAAUUCUACAGGUUUCCUCCUAAUGCUAUAUAUGUCAACUGCAUGUAUUUGUAGCUUUGUUUAGUACUUUGUUUAGCUCAAUUCUUGGAAUUUCAUGCCUAUGAAUUGGAAUUGGAGCUUAGAAAAAUUAGCUAAAUAAUGCAUGUUGGAUUUGGAUUUGACUUAGGAGAAAACUGACGUUUUUACACCGCCAAAUGAGCAAACUACCAGAUUUAGGUUUAGAAGCCGUAAUUUGUCAGUAUCGACGCAGUUUGUGGGUGGUGGAUACCUAAAAUAGUGUAGAAUAUUUUUACACUCGUGCUGAGGUGCCGAGUGUAUUUUUAGAGCAGUGUUUAGGCUGUUCCGAAUUAUCGGGUGCCGUCGAGGUUGACGGUGGACCCAGAUUACUGUUUUUGCAUCAGAUUGUGCCGAGAACACGUGAGUUCAAUUGUUAGACCCUGUUUACUUGACUAUAGCCUGUGAGAGCCUGAUUGAGCUCGACAGAGACACGCUUGUAUACUCGGUUGGGUAGCGCCCACGAGUGCCACUCCGGAGUUGGGCUUUGUGCUUUUGUGUUGGUGUUGUUUAGUCCUGUUUGAACUUGCUCUCCAUUGACGAUCUGGUUUGAUGUCAGAUUGUGUAGUUUCGACAGGCGAGACGGGUGUGUUCACAAUCCCUAAUGCGAUUGGGUCAGGCUUUACUAUUUCCUACAGAGUGUUGGUGUUCGACCGAGAUAGUAUAGGUGCAUAUAGCUGUAGAUGUAUUACAGCUUUCUUACUAUACUUGUUUGCAUCUGUAGACUUAGUCGGUGAGCCGUUGAAGUCGGUAGCGGUACCCACUAAGGACUACUUCUUUUUGCAGUAGUUCUCACGCCCAGUUGUUGAAACCUUUUGCAGAGCCUUCUUCUUUGGCUGCUGCUGCUGUUGAUUCGGACCGUGGAAAGGGAGUCGCGAGUUAGAUUCCUUCCCAGUUGCUGCUGAGUUAGAGUAUACCAGCUAUAGGUAGUGGUAGUUUUUGAAUUCAUAUACAUACUUUUAUUGUUUCUCGCUGGAGCCAGUGUUUUGUACACCAGGAUGCUUGCAUGUAUAAUGAACUUCUAUUUUUAUAUAUAUCUUUUUUUCCUAGCAGCUCUAUACUACUAGUUGUAGUAUUGUUUGAUUACAGGUACAGCUGUCGUUUCGUAUACAGGAAAAGUUUCUUUGUAUACGGCGGAUUUGUCGGCGUGCCCGGGAAAACGAGUAAUCCGGGGCGUGACAAUUUUUUUAGUAAUAUCUUUUUAAAUAUUUCCUUUAUGACAGGUGCUAAUCUUUUCUCACAUAAUGUGCACGUUUUUUCAAAUAUUAUGAAAUACAUAUGAAAAAUAGUUAUACUAUAAAUUAAUUAAAAAUAUAUAAAAUUUAUUUAGAGAUAAAUUAAAGUUAAAAAAUAAUUAAAUAAUAAACAUAUACCACCAAUAACGAUUUAAAAUUUAAAAUAUAAAUAUAAAUAUAAUUUAAAAUUAGAUGUGACAUUUUGAAUUAAGAAUAAAUUAAAAUUUUUAUACUUUUAGAUUAAAAUAUAUAUCCAAUCUUCUAAAUCUCCUUUCUGACGAGUGACACUUGCUACCUAUCAUCUCAUCAUAAUUUUAAUACCUACGCGUUUCUCAAAUAUUGAGCCUAAUUAACAUAUAAUAUUUUCACUAUUUAACCUUUCAAUCUCCUUAUUCUUAUCCCAAUCUUAUAUAUACUUAUUCAUUUUAUUCAUUUUCAUACGUAAUAACCGUCACCUAUGCAUUUGUGCCGACACAACUUCGUUCUCACCUUUGCUAGCAUGACGUCGUUGUCCUCACAUUGCAUGUAUAUCGACAGAAGUUCACGAAUCAUGUCGGCGUUGUUGAUGCUACCGACAUGUAAUCGAUGGUCGAGAUACAUGCGUAUGCGCAUUAUUGGUGGUCGGCAAUCUAUGCGUUGACAAUUCAUAUAAAUAUCAAUCUAAAAUACUCUCCCUCCUCCUAUAUCUAUUGUUAAUGUUAUUUUUUUUUUGGAUUUUUCUUUCUUUUCUAUUCAUAAUAUAUCUUUUUUUUAAGUAAUUUAAUUUUUAGUUAGAUUUACUUUUUUUUAAUUAAAGAUCUCAAAGCCUCAGCCUAAUUAUUUUUCUUUUCAUUAUCUUUAAUUUCUUCCUAAACAAGUUUCAUAAUUAAAUUAAAAUUAUAUUUCCGCUUUUUAGUUAACAUAUUUUAAUAAUAUGAUUUUUCUUUACAUAUAAUAUACGAAUUAUGCUACUAUACUAUCAAUAGUACCAAACCCUUGAUACUAUUGAGUUUUCGGCCGUUGGAUAAAAAGAUGUGCGGUUAGAAUGAUAGUGGUCCCUGGUUAAAUUGAUAGUGGUCCCCUAGGGUUGAGUGGGUGGUUGGUUUAAUAGUAUAAUCUAACGGGUGGAAAUGAUCAAAAGGUAAAUUUAACGAUAGAAAACUCAAUAGUACCAAGAGCUUGGUACUAUCGAUAGUAUAAUAGCCGAACUCUAUAAUAUACUAACAUCUUCUAUUAAACUUUAAUAUAUAAAUAAAUACUACAUUAAUUGGCUAUCACCUGCACAUACCCAAUGUAUACAAAAGUAUACCACACCUCUAAAAAGCUCAUGAAUUUAAAUUAGAAUUCAAUUUAUAUUCUAUGAAAUUAAAAAAAAUUACAAAAUUCAUAAAUAUAAUCAUGUCUCUAUGACAUUAUAUAUUUCGAGCAUCUACUUACCAAAUUCAUCAACUUUUUUUAUAUUGUUAAUUUUUAUGUUCAUUUAAUAUCUAGAUAUUAUGAUUUUAAAAAUUUAUAAAUUUUAAUGUAUAAUUUUUUAAAAACAAAUGUUAAAUAUUGAAUGUCGUGUAUAAAAUAUGUACAUUGAGUACAAGAAAAAACUUCUCAAAAUAUGAACGAUAUGAUUCAAAAUUCUCCUAAAAUUGUAUUAAUAUUUUUACAAUCUUCUUCAAAUCAAUUUGUAUAUAUAUAUAUAUAUAUAUAUAUAUAUAUAUAUAGAGAGAGAGAGAGAGAGAGAGAGAGAGAGAGAGAGCUAGGCUGGUAUACUAUCGGUAGCACGGAGGCUUCCGUGCUACCAAGUUGUUUUCAAUGAUGCAGUUUUCAAAUCGACAAUCGGCUCCGCUAGACUUGAUCUACACUAUUAAAAGUAUUUGGAAACUAAAUUUCAUAAUUUUUCGGCAUUAUUGGGUUAGUGAUCAAAAGAUCUCAAAAUUGACAAUUUUAAUGGUAGAUGUGAUGCGUUUGUGAAUUUAACGGUGUAAAACACUCCAAAUCUGAUGAAAUUUUUAUAGAAAAUUUUUUUCAUUAUUUAGAGAAAGAUCAAUACCUCUGAUCUUAAAUUUAAGUCUUUUAUCAUCAUUUUUUAUGAGAUUUUUAUUUUCAGCCAUUUAUUUUUAAACUACUCGUUUGAUAGGUAAAUGAUGCUGAAAAGUUAUGAAAUUUAGUUUCCAAAUACUUUUAAUAGUAUAGAUCAAGUUUAACGGAGCCGAUCGUCAAUUUGGAAGCCGCAACAUUGAAAACAACUUGGUAGCACGGAGGCUUCCGUGCUAUCCAUAGUAUACCAGUCUAGCUCUAUAUAUAUAUAUAUAUAUAUAUAUAUAGAGUUGGACUGGGCUACUAUUAGUAGCAAAAUUCUAUUGUUGCUACCAAUUUUUUAGCAUUUGGAUCAAUUCUUUUCAUCAUUUCUAACCAUUGGAUUAAAUACUAUAACCCAGUGGGGACCAUUCAACCCUAGGGGACCACUCAAUUCUAACUGACUAAUAUCAUCCUAAUCCUACAAUUUUUCAUCCAAGGGUUAAAAACUUGAUAGCAAAAAGAGGAUUUUACUAUUAAUAGUAUUCCAGUCUAAUUAUAUAUAUAUAUAUAUAUUUUAGGGUAUACAAAAUUAAUGAUAGUAAUAGAUGAUAAGUGAAUUUAUGUUUUUCGCUAAUUAUGUAUUAUAGAUUAUUUUUUUAAUAUAAAUAAAUUUUAGGGUAAACUUCAAAUACCCCCUGUGGUUUCACACUUUCUCACUUUUGUACCAUGUGGUUUAAGUGUAUCAAGUUUGCCCUUGUGGUUUCACACUUUCUCACUUUAGUACCUUGUGGUUUACACCAUUUCUCUUUGGGAGAAAGCGGAGAGGAAGGAGGAAGAAGAAAGAAAGAGAAAUGGUAUACAUUUUAUCCAAAGAGUGUAAUUUUUAUUCCAAAAAGUAUAAUUUCUGUCUCAAAAAGUGUGACUUUUAUUUAAAAUAGUACAAAAAAUUUUUGAAACAGUGUAACUUUAUUUUAACAGCACAAUUAUCACGCCCCGGAUUACACUUUUUCCGGGCGCGCUGACAAAUCUGCCGUAUACAAAGGAAUUUUCCCUGUAUACGAAGCGAUAGCUGUACCUGUAAAUCAAACACUACUACGAACAGUAGUAGAGAGCUGCUAGAGAAAACAGAAGCUAAACAAACUGAGUUUCAUAUACAUAGUCCAAAUCCAAAAUACAAAGCUACUCGCACUGGCGAGUUAAGUCCACUAUGUACAUAAACUCGAAACAAAACAUCUAUCUGCAGUAGGGGCACCUCUAGCUCAGCACGUCGGGUAGGGCUCUAACUCGCGAGGCCCUUGCCUCGAUCCUGAUCCGCGGAAGGCGCAGCAGCCGAAACCUGUGGCUCUGCAAAACAGAGGUAACAACUGGGCGUGAGAACUACUGUGAAAACAAAUAGUCCUUAGUGGGUACCGCCCAAAACAAUAUCGGUCCACCCACUAAGUCUACAGAAGGGAGCAAGAAUAGUCAGAAAAGCAGGAAAUAAACUCUACCGCUAUCGAUCACUACACUAUCAUGCUCUACACUAACCAACUGUAGGAAAUGUCCAAUCUGACCCAAUCCAAUCGGGACUGUAAGCAUACCCGUCCCCGGGACUGUGAAUACACCCGUCCCUGCCCCGUUGCGACUAUCGGGCUCUAUCCACACUAACUGGUCCGUGGAGAGCAAGUCCAACUGGCAUGAGCGACACCAACGCAAAAGCACAAGCCUGACUCCGGAGUGGCACUCGUGGGCGCUACCCAACCGAGUAUGCAGCGUAUCUCUGUCGAGCUCAAACAGGCUCCAACUAGCCAAAGUCAAGUGAACAGGGUCAAAACAGGUCUACAAACCAAACCCACGUGCCCUCGGCACAAUCUGUGACCAAAACAAGAAUCUGGGUCCACCGCUAACCCGAACGGCACCCAACGACCCGAAACAGCCUAAACUCUGCUGAAAAAUAAGCUCGGCACCCCAGCACGAGCGUAAAUGCCUUCUAAACUACCCUAGGUAUCCAUCGCACUGAUACUGCAACGAUAUAAUCGAACCACGGCUCCUAGAGCUAAAUCUGGUAGUUUAAGCAUAUGACGGGUCAAAACGCAGGUUUUCUCCUAAGUCAAAUUUCAAGUCCAACAUGUAUAAUUUAAAUAUUCAUUUCAGCAUGCUUCUACAUUUAUAUUACAUUCAAGAUGCUAAUCGAUGAAUUAAAGCAUGAUAUACAAGAAUCGAACUAUACAUAUCGACUAAACACGCACUUAGGAGCGAAACCGAUGAUAACCCACCUCUAAUGCAAAUCCUGGCAGCAAUAGGGUCACUCAGCUACGGAACACUCUGUCGGAACCAGGCGCAUCUGCUAUCAGCCAGCAAAGGUCCACAAUCAGGAUCUAAACAUCAAUUCCACUAAAAUCCACUAAAAAUUCCAAUUUCAGCACUUAAGCUUGGAUUUCUCUCCACUCCAAUGUCAAAACUCACCUAAUGAUCUCCAAUUCGGGUGAGGACAGAUCCAAAUCCAGCCACUACUGAUGGGUGAUCAAUCUCAGGUCCAAAAUCCCACUGCCAACAAAGAUAGCAUCAAGAAAAGCUCAAAAAUCCCAAUUUCAGCAAAUAGUCAACAACAGUCCAGAAAAACUUGAGUUUGACUGAGCUAACCUUCACCAAAUUCUGCGAGAUAGGGCUUCGUGGAUUCCUCUGAGAGUCAAAAAUCCAGCAAACCAAGUUUCAUCGGAAUCCGAUCUUCUUACGUCGCGCACGAGCCAAAACACUGGAGGUCGUCGCUGAAGAACUGCAGAAUCAGCACCUUGCAAUUCUUGGAGAUGUGGAUCUUGAUGCAAAAUGGAAAGAUUGGAGGGAUUUGGGAUCAAAAUCUAAGUUCUCUGUGAAGAACAGGUAAAAGAGCUCAAUAGGGACGCAUACAGGGUAUUUAUAGGCUACUGGAGGGAUAAGAUAAGCCCCAAGAGAAAACAGCUGCUAACUAGAGUUCAUGCAGAAACGGGCGUUUCUGGGCGCCCGGAACCAUGUUCUGGGCGACCAGAACAUCCCGACUGCACAAACCGGGCUCCUCGGACUCUCCGCUCGCGGUGUGCUGCGCCCGUAAAUGGCUCCGGCGGAACUCACCUACCGCUUGCCACGCGUCGAAGCAAGCGAUAUUCACGAUGUCGAAUUUCCGGACCCACAUCUGGGCGCCCGGAACAUGGGAUCCGAAUUGGCUUCCAGUUUCAGUUAAAUUCAACACUCGUUUUUGGGCGACCCUAAACAUGUUCUGGGCGCCUGAAUCUGGCAAAACUCCAGUUUUGCUUAUUUGAGUGCGUCGAGUCCAAUUCUGCAUCCAAUUCAUGCUGAAUUGACUCCGACUCAGUCCGACACUCUCCAGAGAUGUCGACCAGUCACUAAUACUGAAGCCAACCCUAUCCAAAGCUCAGGAACACUACAACAAUUUUACCUUUUUCUUCCUUCUUCUAUUAAUUUUGGUUUUUCUUGUAGGAGAAAAAAAAAAUUUUUGUUUUUUUUUUCUUUCUACAAUUUUUUUUUGGGUCACGACCUCUCCUCCUCCCUCACCGGCGUGCUUCUCGGCUCCGAGAAGCACUUCAUCUUCAUCCCCAACGGCGGCGGUGGGGACGGCAGGUAGAAAAUCUGCUGCAGUGGAGGUAGAGGGCGAAGGCGGAGGAAGAGGACACGGUAUUGUCCUCGCUAUCGUCACAGACGGCCGCAGAGGCGGUGGAGGAGGCUCAGAGAGAGAAAAAAAAAAAGAAAGUCGCAGCACGGACUCGGUGAGGUCGGAGGCGAGAAGGGUGGGGGGUGCGUGGGCGAGGGCGUGAGGGCAAGAAGGGUAGGGGGUGCGCGAGCGAGGGCGUGAGGGGCAGAGACGAGGCGGGCCGUUUCAGCCUUUGCCUCCGCUACCUUCUUCAGAGAAAAAAAAAAAAAAAAACGAGAGAAAAAAAAGGAGAGAGAAAAAGAUAUAAGAAUAUUUUGGUUAGUUUGUUGAAAAUUUCGACUGAAUUUGCAAAAUCAAAAAAUACGGCCUAAUUUUGCAAAAGCUCAAAACUUUUUUAGGACCGUAUAUGAAGUAUUACUCCAUUUCUAAAUGAUAAUCCCCAAAUAGUACAAGAUAGCUAAAAAGUUAUAGUCCUUUCUUUUCCCUUCACUAAUACAAACAUAAAUCACCUCUACAUAUAUUAGUAUCAAAUUAAAGCUAAUGCUACCAUUUAGAAACCAAACUAAGUCACAGCUGAUCACAUUGAGCAUGAGCAAACCCCAACCCAUUCUUCUCCAAAUCAUAUUCGAUCCACGUAUUUUGCUGCUGUAUGUUCCCUAUUAUAGAAACUAACAUCACUCCACUUCGACUACGAUGCAAUUAAGCACAUUAAUCUACCGCCUUCGUCUAAAUCAACCACGUAAUUAUCUCGCAGUACGUCCAUAUCCGCACCUUCGAAAUGGUAUAUAAGCUUGGGCACUUCAAUUCACAAAUAAGAAGAUAUGGACAUUGAGAAACAGGCACCAAACGUUCCUGUAGAGUCGUUGAUGACACUGAGCUUUAACUGAGAUGCAAAUGCGGAUUUUAUCCGAUCGUAUGCGAUCCGGUUCAAUCAGUUAAAGCCGUUGCCAGAAUCUAUUAUUACUCCACUAUUGCCGGUUUCUUUUAUAGUGAAUGCCGACUUUGGUAUUUUUAAGCUUUUUUUUCCGACCGCUAUUCCGUUGAGUGAGAGGUAGUACAAGUUUGGCCUUAGCCGGUUUUUGAUUAGUGGAGUGGUUUUGGAGGAUCCACUUCGGAUUCUUUUUGGAUCCGCUAAGGCCCCAAGUAGUAGGGGACUUCUUUUGUAGUCGUGUAUGGCAGUGAAGCAGUAAGAGAACCUUUUAAUUUUUAGCUGAGAGAUUAAUGACAAGGGUACGCGGCCAAAACCGGCAAUGCCGAAUUCAAUUAAGAAUAUCCUUUGGUUCAAGAUCCCACGUGUUCGAACCCGAGACGGGGGAUUUUGACCUAACCUUCCUAAAAAAAGUUUGUCAUUGUUAAUGAGUUAAUUUUGCACCGGUUUGAAUGCUUGAUUUUUAACUUCUCAGUGCGAUUGCUAAAUUAUAUCUAAGCAAAUCUGUUCAAUUUGCAAAACAUUGUUAUUAGCUAGAUGCAAUUGUUUAUAUACUCCUGAAAAGUUCCCGACUUUCUGAUUUACCUCUCUUAAAAGCUAAUAUUAAAAAUACCCUUUCUACGUUCCAACCUAUUUCUAACAUACUCUAGAGUUAAAAUCUGUUAAUGAAUUUUAUUAUCUCUGUAAAAUUACUAUUUUGCCCUUUCAAAUAUACUUUUCCACCAUCACUGACUUUCUUAUUUGUCCUUAAAGUCAGGGGCACAACAAGUAUUUUGACUUUUGGUCUUUUCCAAUAUACCCUACUACCGUCACCAACAUUUCUUAUUUGCCCUUAAGUUAAGGACAAAAUUGGUAUUUUAAUUUUUUUUAAUUGUGGUAUAUAUUUAACUCAUGUUUAACCCAAGUUAACUUAACAGGAGAUAACUGCGGAGGUAUUUUGCAAUAACGGUAAAACAUAUGAGGGGUAUUUUAGAAAAAAAAAAGGUAAAUCGAAUAUUUUUAAACGUAUAAGGGGUAUAUAGUUAAUUAUCCCUUGUUAUUAUAUAUAAAAAUAAAUAAAAUAAGUUUCUUUCAUAUUUUGUCAUUGCACCUAAUGCACUCUACUUACAAUUCUAAAAAUCUAAAGUAGUGCGUGUUUUGGAAGUAUUACUUGGUGUCGAAUCGUGGAUGCUAACUAUUAAUCCCAAAAGCUCAAGCUGUUAGAAAUAUGCAGUCAAUUUACUUAAAGCAUAUAGAUGCAACGUCCACAGGUCUCGAUUAUAACUCAAUCUAAUCGGUCUCACGUCAUUUCGAACAUGACUCGGUCCAAUCCAAUCUUACGUCAUUCCGAACAUGACUGAGCCCAACCUGGCCUUCUGCCACAAGGCAGAAUGUUGGCACAUUUAAGUCAAUACUUGGGAUUAUACUUUGAUCACAUAACACUAUACUCGCUCUCCAAUACUUUUUUGUUUUUGGCCGGUCCUCUUUGAGGCCUAACUGCCUCGAUUUGUAUAGUUAAAUUUAUUAUCCUAAUAAAUAAAGCAGAUGGCGUGCUAUUUUUCUCUUAAAAAAAAAAAUACUAUACUCUAUAGCACAAAAUGCUCGACAUAAGCAAUCGAGCUUUGGAAUAUCUACUAACAGGGCUAUAUAUAUUUUUUUUAUUAUGAAAUACAGGACCUUUCAAUUGAAACAGACCUUCAAUUGAAACAAUCUCACUCAUUAAUUAAGAUUACAGCUGAUCGCACCGCGCAGGAGCAAAAGAUAACUUCUGAUCGUCCAGAUCGUAGACUAUGUGCAUAUUCUGCUGCUGAAAAUUACCAAUUAUAGAGAUUUUGCCGCCGGAAUCGAACAUCACCAAGCACAUUAAACCGACGCUGGAAUCCUGAGGCAAGUAGUUGUCGCGCGGCAGAUCCAUAUCUGCGCCUUCGAAGUGGAAUAUCAGCUUCGGCACGUCCACCUUUGCUGAUGGAGACGACGGCAGCGAGAAGCAAAGGUCGAAGCCCUCUGCGGUGCUGUUAGCCACGGGCAGCUUCACCUGUGACAAGAAGGCGCUCCUCACGAGCUUGUAAGCAACCGUGGUUAGCUGUGUGAUGGACGUGCCGGAGUCUAUGAUCACUCCGCCAGUCCCGAUUUGCUGCAGCGCGAAUGCCGACUUCGGUAUCGGUAGACGGGUCGUGCCGACCGUUAUACCGUCGAGAGAGAGGUAAUAGAAGGUUGGCCGUGAAGGAUUCAUAAUGAACGGAGUCGACCGGAAGUUAGUAGAGCUGCCGUUUAGAUUGGCAGCUGAUCCUAACAUGAGUGCGCUGCUCUUCGAAUCGUCGUCAUCGUAGGAAAUGAAGCAGUAAGAGAACUUUCCGACUCCUAACUGAGAGAUGAGAGACAAGGGCCCGCGACCGAAGCCGGCAAUCCCGGAUUCGUUGUUGAAGAUGCCCCCGUUGAGAAACCCACAGCCGAACCCGAGGUUUGGGACCGUGACGUUGUUAGCGGACCCGAAGGUGAAGGCCUCGCUGGCGAGAGUGCCGACGGUGGUUGAGUUGUCGCCGUAACUGUAAAGAUAGAGGCAUUGUGCGUGGCAGGCGGAUAGUGGAAGAGCCUGGCAGAGCUUGCUGGAGCAGGCGAGCCGCGAGUAGGUGGAUGACUGUGAAGGAUCGUACAAAGGAAAGCUCUGGUCGAAGCACGAGAGGCAGGGCUGGCACUGCGUCCAGACGAGAUCGCUACCAGUGUCAAGGAUGAGCAGAAGAGGCUGUGCCGGCGUGCCGAUGGAAACUCCGAUGGUGUACUCACCGGCAUUCGGCGAGACAGGCACGUCAGUUGUGGAUAUCGAAUUGGCGGAACCCCCCGCGGCCUUGGGCGCGAGCAUCGCGCCCCGGGCCCUGCUUCGGAGCGCCAUGCGCUGCAGGAGCUCGAAUUUGGUGAAGUUCCGGCCCGCGUCGACGUGGGUCAGGUCCACGCGCAGACGGUCGAAGGCAGAAAUGGCCGGAGGGACUAGCGAGACGAGGAGGAGCACCAGAAUCGGCAGCAUAUGUUCAGAGGGCUUAACAGCAUACAUGCUGUGGUCUGAGAUGCAGAGACUUAUGUUUUGCGAAGCUUACACUUGUUUGGAGGAAUGUUUAUAUAGUGGGGGAUUUAGCAAGAAUGAGUCUCCUUUAUGGCGAAUAUUGUUGAAUUAUUUAGUGGUGAACUUUUCUUGGUCUAAUACAGGGACUUGCUUUACGCGCUAUUGUAUAUAUUUCCAAAUUUUGGGUCUCAAUCGCCCUAUAUAUUUCCAAAUUUUGGGUCUCAAUCGCCCUAGUGAAGAGGAUUAGCACGAACACAUUAUACAUAUCUUGACACGGCAAAAUUAUGCGUGGCUAUUAUUUUUUUCGUUUAUUUUAUUUAAAGGGAUAAUUACUUAUAUACCCUUCAUGCGUCUAGAUUGGUUACUAUAUGCAGUUUUUCCUUUCUAUUAUGCCUGAUUAGUCCUAGUGAGAAAGUCGGUGAUGUUGGGGCCGAACCCACUGGGAACUUUGUUGUAAUUCUCACCCCACUAUUUUCACAGAGCCGGGACCGAGCGAGCCCGCGAGCGACCGCGGUAAAGGUAUCGCGCCUUAGUCAAAAGCCACCCCAGUCAGGCUUGUAUUUUGUUAGUAGUUACCCUUUUAUCAUCUUUUGUACUAGAUGAUUAAUGAUGUAAAGAAAAGAAGUAAAGCUCUCUUUUAAGGUAAAUGUGAUGUAAUAAAAAAAUGAUGUAAUAAAAUGUAAGGAAUUUGAAAAUGUACAAGUUGGACUUGAUGUAUAUGAUAUAAAUUGAAUCAUAGUACAAGUGAAUGUUUAGUUUCCUUUCUUUCACUCAUGAUUAUUGCCUACCCUCGUAUAAGCCGUAUUUGUAUGUUUCCGCUAGUGCACUUCUUGUUUGAAAUUGUACAUGUGAUGAGCCUUGGGCGGACAGAAGAAACUCUAUCUGUUCGGCGUCUGUUUGACGUGCUCGGGCUAGCCCAAAUCGGUAUCAGUCCCAGGGCGUGACAUUCACGUUUUAUCAAGUUCUUAUAGUCUAGGUCAUGUUUAAUUACGCUGAUCGUCGAUUUAGAAACCCUUUCACCGAAAAAAAUGCCUAUACCUUCUUAUUUGUGAGUCGAAGUGCAUGCCCAAGCUUAUAUACCAUUUCGAAGGUGCGGAUAUGGACGUACUGCGAGAUAAUUACGUGGUUGAUUUAGACAAAGGCGGUGGAUUAAUGUGCUUAAUUGCACCAAAGUCGAAGUGGAGUGAUGUUUCUAUAGUAGGGAACAUACAGCAGCAAAAUGUGUGGAUGGAAUAUGAUUUGGAGAAGAACGAGUUGGGGUUUGCUCAUGCUCAAUGUGAUCAGCUGCGACUUUUUUUUUUUAUUAUUUGAGAAAUAGAUAGCAAGCUGCCUACUUCAUUCAUUAACCUAAAUGAACUGAGCGUAUAUGUUGGAAGCAGCUAGGGCUUCCGAAAGAACAAGCUAAAGGGGCAAAAAAAAUAGGCGAAAGAACAGACUAAAGCCGAGAAACAGAGACGAAAAGAAAAGCAAAGUAAAAAGGGAAAGAAAGUACAUCAUGUCAGAGCACUGCAGCCCAGUUACUCGUGAGGUGUUUGACGUAAUCUAGCGACCGGGAAGCGUUGCGUAACAUUCCACCAAAGAUAGUUCCUAUCCCUUCAGACCACCCAUCAGAUUGCCGCCAGAUAAGUCAAGCCUUGUGACCUCUUCCACUCGACAGGGCUGGGAUCAGCUGUGACUUAGUUUGGUUUCUAAAUGGUAGCAUUAGCUUUAAUUUGAUACUAAUAUAUGUAGAGGUGAUUUAUGUUUGUAUUAGUGAAGGGAAAAGGAUUAUAACUUUUUAGUGAUCCCGUACUAUUUGGGGAUUAUCUUUUAGAAAUGGAGUAAUGCUUCAUGCACGGUUCUAAAAAAGUUUGUUAUUGUUAAUGAGUUAUGUGUAGAAAUAAAUAAAAUAAAUUUCUUUUAUAUUUUGUCACUAUACUUGCACAUUUUACUUAUAAUUUUAAACAGAAACUAAAAUGGUAUAUAUUCUGAACGUAUUACUUGGGACUAUAUAUAGUUUGAUGAAAUAACACUAAACUCUAUAGCUGAAUCAAAAUGCUCGACGUUGUUCGGAUAAAAAAAUAAAAUAAAAUAAAAUANCAAAAAAAAAAGAAAAAGAAGAAGAAGAGAGGGCUUGUAAAAAGAAGAAAUAAUAAUAAUAAAAAAUUUCACCUUUUUUCUGCUCGUAUAAACACACACAGCGAAAGGUGGGGGGCACUUUGUUCGAAUUUAAAAAAAAAAGAAUAAAAUUACAUUCAACUUUUCUUCCUUUCUUCAAAAAAAAAAAAAAAUCCCUCUUGUUUCCAAAAAAAAGGGAAAGAAAAAAAGAAUUACCAAAAAAAAAGGGAACGAAAAACAAAGGAAAGAAAAAAAAAGAAAAGAAUAAAAAAUAAAAAAAAAAGAAGAGAGAAAGGAAAAGAAGAGAGAAAAGAAAAGAAAGCAAAAAAUAAAAGAAGGAAAGAAAAAAAAAGUUUUUGUUAUUUCAAAAUAAAUAAAAAAAGGAAAGAUAUCUAAGAGUAGUAUUAAAUACUUAAAUUUCUUAUAAGAUGUAAGGAAUAAUAAAAUUUCCUUUGUAGAGAUUUAUUUUGAAUUUUUUCUAAAAAUAAUAACGAUUUUUGAAUCCCUGUAAAUUGGAUUCAAGAUGUAAGUAACAAAAAAAAUUUUGAGUUUUUGCAAGAAGGAAAAAAAGAGAGCUUGAGAAAAACAGUAAAAAAAAAGAGAGAGAAGAAGGACAAAAAGAAAGAAAGGUAAAAAAAAAAAA
rnacentral:lncRNA from 1 species